CUUAAUAACAGUAAACAUGAACAUGUCAGAUGCAAUUCUAGCAUCGACCAUUUGCAUAACCAGAAAUCCUAACCUGAACAAGCACCAGAAGUGCCUCCCGGACUUUCUCCUUGCUGAUAAAUGGUCCACAGUUUGAAGUAAGAGCAGGAGUAAGAGAUGGUGGAGGGAUUGGUGGUGGAAAAGGUUGAAGCACUGGGGCACCACAUGGGCGUUGUAGACUCAAGGGAGUAUUAAGUGGCGGAGCUGUUGGUGUAGAUGAAGAGACAGGCUGCAUCAUCCGCGCAGAGGAGGAUGGAGGAGGAACAAAGAAUAAGGAAGGCUUUACAAGAUUAGGUGUCCAGUUGCCAGAUUCAGAGGUGUCAAUGGGUGGCAUUAAAGGGGUAGGUGCUGAUAGAGGCGGGGAUGGUAUUUGCAAGGUUGGCACGAUAGGAUAAGCAACACUGGCGGGAUGAGAAGGUACAGAAAUAGUUGUAUCAGACUGCUAAGGUUGUGCAGAGAUUGCUGCAUUAGAAGUACUCCCCACAAUCAUAGCUGUCUGUAAUGAUAAGGACAGAUGUCAGAUACAAGGACUUCAUAGAAGUUGAACCUCACACUAAAAAGAAGUGAUAACAUAUGAAAAUAGUAUAUGACUUGCAGCAUUUUUGUGGUAAUGUUGCAUACUUAUGUAGAAACAUAUUAUUUCAAAGAAAACAUACACUGAAGAAGUUCACAAAAGCAGGAUCCUCAGGAACAUCAGCAGCAUUUGAGGGAGUUGACUCUAGAGGACCAUCCAUAACUGCCGUAGUUGGAACAGCUUCCAGUUCCUCAAACUCACUGCAGUUUAACAAUAAAAGGAACUCGAUGACCAAUUUAAGUAACAAUUAGAUGAUAUAAGAGGUUAGGGAAAAUGAUGAGCGGACCCUUAUGGAAGGUGAUUUCACCUUAGCUAAACACGAAAAUAAAAAGAAAUCAAGGCCGACUCCUCGAGUGCAAUGCAAAAAAUAUUUUCCCUCUUCUCUAACUCCUCUUAUUCAAAAUUGCUCAUCAUUGUGCUGUUCUUUGAGUUUUCACUAGAGUAGAGAACGCUAUUCUCCUGUUAAGUGCAGAGGAAAGAGAAGGGCAAGGGCCUGGUAUGACGCUAUUCUAUAGAAAGUGAGAAGGUGAAGGGUUAAAAUAUUUUGCAAUUUGGAGGUGGUGUUUGUUAGUGUUCGUACUUCUGAGUUUAUUACCUCUUUAGGAUCCAUAGAAAUUGCCUCUUGUUUAGCAUGCACUGUGCCUAAGAGUAAGGCGAGCUUGCAGAGUAUCUAUUAUUUAUUUACUUGGAUAUUCAAACAGGACUACCAGCAACCAAACCUGUCCCAGCACACUAAUCCCCAAACAAAACACUCCUUCAAGUGCAAGGAAAGAGUAACGUGGGCAUAUUUAUGGUUCAAGCACUACAAUAACUAAGAAUGUGAUGACUGUCCACAAACACUAUAUCAGAACCUUUUGAACUACAUCACAUGCUCGAAGAUUGUUUUUUCAGUCAUACAUAAAUUAGCCAUAAAAUUAAGGCCAUUAUACAACUAAAAAGAAAGAAAAAUUGUUUGCUACUACAUAUCAAAACUGGUAAUAGAAAUGUAAUAUGGCAGACUUCUUACUUAAACAGAUGAGAGGCUACAAAAAAAAAAUUGUGCAAAUAAAAUAUAUGAUAAAGAGCAUAAUACUUUCUUGGGGGCUAAAAAUAAUAUACAACAUGUAAAAUAUAAAUUGAGCUAUCAUUACCUUUUAGACGUGGCAACUUUCGACUUUUGAGGCACCUUGGAAUAUGCAUUCAGAAUCCUGCAUUUGGAAGCCAAAUAAAUAAUGUUAAAAACAAUUUUACAAUAGAAACAUUAAAAAUUGAUAAAUUACAGUUGCAAUUUAUGUAUGCGAAAAGAUAGCAUCACAUCCAGGGUCCUCCCCUAAACAUGCUUGUAACGAGAAUUAGUCUGCCUCCACUGUUAGCAACUGCUAACAAUAUACAAUAGUAAAAAUCACUCUCAUGAACUCACCAAUACCAGACACCAAUAAGAGUAUGAUACAACUAUUCUAAAUGGAAGAGAAAACCACUGUUUUAUAACUAUGUCGCAUCCAAAGAUAUGUUAGGAGGAUUAAUCCAAAUACCUUCGAACCCAAUUAACAAACUUGAGGCAAAAACCAGGGGCCCCAACUGAACCUUACAAUCUUGAAGGAAGGAGGCUUCUGGCAUUUUUCAGAUAGGUGAGUUACUAGAUCUCCUGCGAAGAGAAUAUCUUUUGCUUUGAACCUCCAUUGAAAUUUCUUUUUCCCUUUUUCUUGUUUUGACUUGGAACUUUCCAGCAUCAUCUAUUUGACCUUUUUUAAAGCUAAAAUAGCAAUCUAUGGGUUGUCAACAUCUUAUCUCCCCUUCCCCCCCCCCCCCCAAAAAAAAAAAAUCAAUGGGUUGUCAAUAAAUAGUGCCUACUCAACUUAUGUUUUCCAAGGGAUGACAAUGUGCAAAUCGACCUAGUAGCCACACUUUUCCCCCACUUUCAACCACCGUUAGGCAACUUUUCUAACCUUUCUUCAUUGCCCACAUCUACAGAACUAUCAUAUAAAGACUACAUUAUUAUUGGGGUAGAGGAAAAAAUACAGACUAUAUUAUUAUAUCUCAUUUUACUAAUUGGAAAAGACACUCAUGAUAAUACAGACCUUAAAAAGCAAUAGCUAGUAACACCCCAUGUACUCCUAUUUUAGCCUUCACUAUCCUAGUAAAAACACAAUUAAGUCUUGCAAAAGAACAUUCACAAGUAAAUUCAACAUUAAAUGAGAUUAGGUAUCCACUGCACCUUCAAUCGAUGACUGGGUGAAUAGCAUGGUCAACCAUCUAGUUCCUGCAGCCCUCCUUGUACCUAUGUUAGUUACAUUUUACAUAUUACGCCACGAAAAUGAAGGAUCACAGCCUGGUAAAGAAAGCCAUUAAUUAAUAGCUUUUGUUUAAAAAGUUCUCAUUUAGAUCUUUCCUAUUCAAUUAAUCAAUGUAAUCCAAAGAGAACUCUUCCAUUUCAAGCAGUGUUAGAAGAUAAUUGCAAAGCCUAAAGAUAAUAUACAAGGACCAAGAUAUCAAUAAAGUCAAAUAGUGAAUGUCAAAUAUAAAAAAUAAAUAAAAUAGUUGAACGUGAUCAUUUACUAUCAAGUUCUGUAAAACUGAAAAUACCAUUAUCCCUGUAGAGAUUCUCAAAAAACUCUUUAGCAAAUCAUUAAAUAGCAAAAAAAAGAACGAAAGUUCAAAAAAAAAAAUGUACAACAUCCAUAUCAGGAGAUAUUUUUCUUCUCAAUAUCAAUAUUUUCUAGCCGUGAAGCAAUUGAAAAGCUUAACACCAAGUGAAUUAUUAAGAAUUCAUCAUUUAAAUUCCCAAAUCGCAAAAUGUUGGUGCAACUAGGAAAGUGCAAAUGCAGUCACUUAACUAACACAAUAAGCACCAAUAGUGAGAAGCCCACUUUGUAUCAAAUUUGAAACAGAUAGAUAGAGGUCAAAAAAUUUAUAAAGACACUCAAUUGAAAGCCUUUCAAGCAGCUUUUGCAUGCAACAAGAGCAAAUCAAAGGCGAUGAGAAUGUAUUCAAAGACUAAUUUACAAUCAUCUAUAGACAUAAAUAUCUUGGAUACCUACUCUCUAUACCUUACUGUCCCACUGAAAAUCAUCAAAUCCCUCCAAACAAAAAUGACAAAAUGUAUAAGAAUUGUGUGGUCAAACUUCAAUAACUUAGCAGCCACAGCAAAAACUUAUGUAGACAUGCAAGCCACUCAAAAUAGUCAUAUUUUUUGCUUUCCAAACACAAGCCACUGUGUAAUGAAUGCUCAUAAAUUGCUACUACCAUGUUUGUUAAAACACGUGAAAACCACCAUAACUAACUCAAUGUAACUGAUGAUCACAUCACAUUCAUGGAAUCACAUAUCUGACAGUAUUAAUUAGUGCAAACUGCAUGCUUCUUGAAACUCCUUAUUUAUCACAUGGGUGCCAUUCCAAUCAACCAAUGAUUCUGAUCUAGUCAGCAAAUUCAACCCACGAGCGAGUAAUACCUCCUAUUGCUUCUUUACAUUUCUCAACAAAAUUCCACAUUCUACCCAUACUUCUGAACUUGAUGCUCCCAUAGACUAAUACAAUAUAAAGAUUUCUUCCCACACCACCCCAACCCCCACCCCUAAAAAACCAAUUUAAAUUCUCAUUGGAUGUACAACUUAUAGUCCAUACCAAAUUGAAAAAUUUGCAAAUAUAGAACCUCAAAGAAUCUGCUUGCGUUCCAUUUUCUACAGCAAGAAAAUUGACCUUUACCACAUGCAAGUCAACAUAUAAAACAAUCAUGUCUUUGUGAGAUGCACAUUUUCAGAUGAAUCUGGAGAGCAAUGAAACCAUAAAAACCUAAUAUGAGAACACCGAGGGCUCCAGAUAUCAUCUAUAGAAUCUUUGGUGCACCCUUGCAUGAUGAAAAAAAUUGAAGGCUUCGUCACCAACUCCCCAGGUUGUUUUGUUCUCCUAUCUCCUAAAUGCACAGGAAAGGCAACCCGUUCUUUUUUCCAAUCUUAAGGGGCACAGAAUGACUCCGGUAUAAAAUAGUCAGUUUCUAUACAAAAAUAACUCCUUUGCACUUGGCAUUGCACAUCUCAAAAUAAAAAGCAUGCAAGGAGGAGAAUAUAAUAGCAUUAAACAAGUUUUAUUAACCAAACUUCAAAGAUGCCAGACAAGGCAAAAAAGGAAUCUGUACAAGCCAGAUUCCAAGAAUAAUAAUUCCAAUAUACAAUUCAAGAAAACAAUAACUAAAACCAUGUUCAUGAGGCCUCAGUAGAAGCAACAUGUAAUAACCAUACUCUAUUAUUUGAAACACAUUUCCAAGUUUGGUUAAGAUUCUAAACUAUUCUCUAUCUGUCAAUUAUUAACAUGUAAAACAUAAUAAUAUACACUUAAACUACUACAGUAGUAAAACCAGUAAAACAACAAUACCUGCUAAAAAGAUUUGCUACCUCUUCACAUUCACGAGCAUUGUAGAACCAAAUCCCAUUUACUUCUUGGGAUGCAUUUCGAUAUAACAAAUACGGAACCUGAACUUCAAACUCAAAAUCUCCCAAAAGAUUUUCCACUAAAUUAUCUGCACAUAUACAAGAUAUUGAAGCUUAUCAGUGCAAAAACAUAUAUAAAAAGACAUGAAGGUUAGAAGACAUAACUAAAACUUAGCAACAACUGAUAAGCACAACAAGACAUGAAAUAUAACACUAGUUGUAAACAAGAUAGACACAUGGUAUCUAAAAAAUUGUACCAACCCCCUCUCCUGAUUGUCAUAAAACGGCCAAUAUUUAACCCUAGACAACAAAAUUGCAAAUACUCUAGCCUCUAUAUUAUUGGCAUAUAAAUAUUUUAGGUUAGGUACAUUAUAUUCUUCGUUCUAAAACCUCAAUUAUUAGCUAGUACUGUGAUAAAAUGAUUCAUCACUGAAAUUAAAACUAGGUCACGUACAAAUAAUCAAAACUGAAAUAGAAGCAACGAUAAACCAACCUGUAUUACGUCGAUUCAUCACAACAAACUGAAAUCGAGGCUGUGUGUUCCUGAAAAUUGAAAAAAAUAAUAAUUUCACCAACUUCAUGUGUAAUACAAUCUCCAAAACACCGAAUAUCAAAUGAAAAAAUGGAAAGCAUAAGAGAGAAAAGAAUCUAAUUUUAUUGACCUUUUGACGACGAACAGAGAUCCUUCAACAUCCUUACGACUCCAUUGGCUGAGAUCGAUGUUGAACUCGUAGAAGGUGACAUAAGCGGCCGUGAUGAGGAUCUCCUCAAUGAAUGGAUCGAUUCGCUGAAGAACUGUCAGGUUUAGGAGUUUUGUGCUCUGCUGGUCCAGAUUAGGCAUCAAUUUUCCGUUCUGCGACAUUUUUCGUAGUCCUUUCGGGCUCUGCCCCGAGCACAAGCCCCAUGGUUUUUCUGUGAGCUCUCUCUUUUGUAAAUAAAGUGUUUGAUGAGAUAGCCGAGAGAGAGUGAAAGAGUUGAACACCCAAACAAGGUGAGGUGAACAGUUUCGGAUUGAGACUCGAGAUUGAUCUUGCUUUAACGUCUUUCAAAUAUUUGGGAAAUAGCAUUUAUUUCUUUCAAUUUCUCUACUUUUUUUUUCCUUUAUGUCAUUUAGACCCAAAAAUUAGAUUUAUUAUAAAUUUAUAAUCAUAUUUUACCCAUUCACUAGUAACCCCUUUUAUUUUUGAAAUUUGUCAAUAUUAAUGUGUUAGAAUAAUGUUAGAAAUCCCAAUUAUUAUCUCAAUGUUUCAAUCAUAACUAAUGUGAUAACUCAUCGGUAACUGCAACAUUAACUUAAUUAUUAAUAUUUAUCAUGAAAUGAUGAGAUUAUUAUUCAAGAAAAAAUUAGUAAACAUCAAUGACUAAUAUAAUGUGACAAUUACAGCUGAAUAUUAGUACAAUAAUUAGGAUUCCUAAAGUUAGUGAUGUAUUAUAAUAUAUGUGUUAUACCACUUUAUGUCUCUCAAAUUCAAUUGAGUAAUUUCAUAUACCUGAGUACCUUUUAUUACAUUAAUUAAUUGGGUCCGCCUAACUUACGCUCAACGUAAGUUACGCUCAGCCCGUCCAAUUUCAUAUAGUCCCCCUAUACUCUAUACUAUUUAUAUUUUAUUCAUAAAUAUUAUAAAUUUUUUGAAAUGUAAAAUUUCAUUUAACCCCCUCUACUCAAUUUUAUUUUAUUAAAACCAUAGAGUAUGAAUUUGCCCCCAUAAUUUUAAAUUCUCAAAAUAACCCCCAUUUAAUUAAAAAUAUAAUUAUUUUUAAAUGAAUUAUAAUUAUAAUUAUAAUUUUAUUAUAAUCAUAAAUAUUUUUUUAAUAGAUUAUUGUUAUUAAAAUAAAAUUUUGUUUAGCCCCUCUACUCAAUUUUAUUUUAUUAAAACCAUAGAGUAUAAAUUCGCCCCCAUAAUUUUAAAUUCUCAAAAUAACCUCCAUUUAAUUAAAAAUAUAAUUAUUUUUAAAUGAAUUAUAAUUAUAAUUAUAAUUUUAUUAUAAUCAUAAAUAUUUUUUAAUAGAUUAUUGUUAUUAUUAAUAACGAUAAUAAAAAAUAUUAUAAUUAAUUAAUUAAUCUAUUAACAAUAAUUAAUAAUAUUUUUAUUAAAUUGUUAGUAAUAAUAAUAAUAAUUAAUGAUAAUCAACAUAUUUAUGAUUAUAAUAAAAUGGAAUAAACACUGAGUCUAUAUUUAUAUAGGAGACUCUUUUAUAUUUCUAUACAUUUUAAUUUCAAGUACUUUUAGGAUUUUUUUGUUACCUUCAUAAAUAAUGAUUUUGUAGGCAUCUCAUUAUUAAACGGUCAUUUUUAAGUGCUUCUAGUGUUGGGAUCGUAUUUAAUUGUGCUUUUCAGCUUUCUUGUCAUAACAACUAGGGUAUUACUCUUUCUCCAUAUCAAGCUUGAAGUUCUAAAUUUCAGUUUUAUCUUUUAUUUGAUGUUUUAUAAGUUCUAAAUUUCAGCUUUCUCUCAUAACAACUACGAACGUGUUAUGGUUUAGCUCAGUGACACAAAGGACAGUUUUCAACAAUUGAUCCUAGGAAGAUGCCCAUAGCUUGUUGUGCCAAAAAUAGAAAAUCUAAGAUGCGAAAAAAUUUUGUUGAGAUUCAUUUUUCAUCCUGAUGUUACAGCUGGCCUUUUUUUUUUUUUUUUUUGGCAGAGAAUAAUGCUUAUGUGAUUUCUGAACUUGGUUAUUGUUGAAAUGAGCUGAAAAUGAGCUGGAAAUGUGUUUGGUUAAUGAGAAAGAGAGCGAGAAAAUGAAAGAAAUCUAUUUCACUUUUUAUUUAUCAGAAUGAUUACAUUCACAAUGAAUCUAAGCUGAUAUUUAUACUUAAAUGAAUACACACGAGAUUCUUCUUGCUAGAUACUUCUAGAAACUCUACACGCACACUCACACUGAGCUAGUGGUUACUAAAACCGUUACAACAAUAUUGCCAGCUCAGCAUAACCAACUUAUAACUAACACACUCAGCUGCAGGGGAAACCAUCAAGCAUACGGUGCAUCCUCUGUAAUCAAGCUUCUUUAAGCAUGCUCUGCAGAUCAUACGUCUGAAUUAUCGAAACAAGAUGAAUUAUUUUUUGUUUAUUUUAGCAGGCGAUCUAUGAUCGGAAUUUCUUGCAACAAAAGAUGUGUGUCCACCAGCUUGUAUUCAAUUCGCGAACACAGUUUGAGAAGAAUCAGACCAUUAAUUUUCUUUUGAGCCAAUCAACAGAAUGUACAUUUCUUCUAAGAACCUGUAACCGAAACCGCAGUUUUUCAGGUUUGCUCCUUCCUCAUAGCAGUUAAUCAAACGAUAAACAGAGAUAUCCCAUGUCAACAAGAAGGUAAUCAUAAAAGAACAACAGAAUUGUUGCAACAUAUUCAUAUGAAAUGUAAAACAAUUUUGAGAAAAAAUAUUGGGAAGAUAUUUUUUUUUCAUAGAAGUUGCAAUCUUUACGUUAUUUACUAGUUGCAAUCAUACGCCUGCAAAGGAUGCCAGUUAAUUUUAUCACAAUUAGAUGGUAAGAUUGCAAAUUCUGCAGCCAAAGGUAGUACGGAGCUGAAUGAAGGAAAUCAAAUAUGAACAUGUUUUCAAUCUCAAAAUAUUAAGAGUAGCAUAAGUAACUUGUGAAACAGUCAUAAGUUCAAGGGAAUUAGAUGAUGGCAUGGUUGAAUUUAUAAAUAUUUGAUAUUUUGGACCGAACAGGGCAAACAGAUGGAUCCAGAUAAUUAAGAAAAACAUCAAUUCCAUGCAACCAAAUUAGUGUGUACAAUGCAAUUGCCUUUCCCUAUGAGAGUAGAGGGCCUAAGUACGCUGCCGUUUAGAGCUGAUGAGUUUGAUUCACCAGCAAGCCUCACACAAUAUCACUUGAGCAACACUAUAAAAUCAUUCAAAGAAAUCUCUAGGUCAGUAUCCAAAUAUGUGGCUCCGUCAGUUCCACCACAACCCAAAAUAUCAGAUCCCCCCAUUUGGAUUCGACUGAUCAAUUUGAGCAUAUAAAAUCGGGUUUUAAACUUCCCUAAUUAAAAUUUAUAUUCCACAGAAUCGUUUCCUUUAACAUGAUGCAUUACAUAAUAUUUUGUUUGCAAAAUAAAGAAGAAAGAUGACAUAAUAGAAACACUCACAGAGAGAGAAUACCUUUGACGAAAAGCUUAGAAGUGAAUCCUCUGUAAAAUACGAGUUGAGCUGCUGAAUUUUUCGAGUUUGAAUGAGAGACUGCGCCGUUUCUGAAAAUGUUUUUUUCUCAGUAGCGCCGCCAUUUUUGUAAUAGAGGGUAAAGAAAUAAGUAACAGAGUAAGAGGUGAGCAGAAACGGCCCAAUUUAGUUAUAUGCCAUGCAUGCGAUCAAAAUUGAAUGGUUAAAUGGCAGCCACUAUGUUACAUCUUGUGUAAGUAACAAACCGCCUACAUGGAUCGUUGGAUUUGGGAAUAUGAAAUCCAAUGGAUAAUAUUGAAUUUAACGAAAAAUAGAUUACAGGUUGCAUUAGUCCAAGUUUAUUUCAAACAAACCAGCUGACGAAAUAGCCGCUAAUCAAAUUUAAAAGGGAAAAAAAUUCAAAUUAUAGGUUAUAGAUCUUAUUUCCAUCUUAAAUCUAUUUGUCUUUCAUGGUGUCUCAAUGUGUAUACUAAUUUAUAAUUUGGAUUUAUAUUAGAGCUAAUGCUUCCCUAAAUAACUAAGAAAAUUUUCUUUUCAUUGAUUUAAUAUUUAUUUCCAAUAUCUUGUAUAUGUAGGAUUUGAAAAGAGGAAAAAUAGUAGGGAUGAUAAUGAGAGAAGAUAAAGGUGUCGAUUCUCAAAUCUAAUAUUAAUGCUAUACUUAUAUUCCUAUACUAAAUAAAUUAUCCAAGGUUCGUGGUUAACAAUACGUUGCAAAAUUUUAAUUUCUAUUUAAAGCUCUGUCUAAUAUGACUUUUCAUAAAGCUUAGAGAAAAGUAGAGCUUUUACCAAAAAAAAAUAAUUAUUAGAAUUGUCAAUGAUAAAUUUUAAAAAGUACUUUAAUAAAUAAGCUUUUAAAGUUAUAUAUAUUAUGAAAGAAAUGAAAUAAGAUUAUAUAAUAAAUUAAGAGUAUCUUAGAUAAUUGAACUUAAAAAAAAAAACUCGCUAAGAGGUUUAAAAUUUGAGUUUUAAUAGUGGAUACAAAAUAGUUUAUUUAAUUCUCAAAAGCUCUACUCAAAAUAGUUUAUUUAAUUCUCAAAAAAUAUUUUUUUCAUUGAGUAAAUAAUACUAAACAUGCACUAAAGUGUUAGGACCAGAAGUUGUACAAAAAAUGAUGGCUACAACUUAAAUUAUGAAUGGAGUAAUCGGAGAAUAUUGAAACCCGUUUAAUUUGGAUCGUGCAUUGAGGGACGAAAGGAUAAAAAAUUUAAUUUUGAAAUUGCUGUUGGGUACGGUACAAUGACUUACCGUUGACAGCUUUUGCAACCGGAUUACAAUCGGUUAGUUCAAUAAUUUUAUAUCCCCAUUUAACCGCCAUGUGCUGCUGUUACAUGGGUCAAUUAGUCAUGUCAUUACUGUUACUUACAGAUGCCGCAACAUAACCGGACCCUGGUUAAAUUCUGUUGUUUCCAAUAAUUUUAUGCUGUAUCUUCUUUAAUAAUAAAGAAAACUUGCAUUAAAAUUAAAAUUAGGGUAAUACCUGAUUUUAUAAAUAGAUUGCAAUGUAAUUUUGAAAAAUAAAACAAUAAUUUACAAAAUGUUUAUAACAUAAUUUUAAUUUUUUUCAAAAAGGAAAAACAACAAAAGUAAGAAAUAGAGAAUUAGGGCUACAAACUUUGUAUCUUAAACGGCCGUUAGAUUAUUUGUAAAUGAAAGCAACGGUCAGAUAUUGGUGGAUUAUGGAAACAUGUAAUCAUAAGGACUACGAGUUUUUUUUGUUACAUUGAUAUAUUACAAUCAAAAUUCUAUUGGUAUUUACAAUCAGAAUUUUAUUUGACUAUCUUUGAUAAUUCUAAACUAGUACAACCCAAAUUCUUAUUCUCAUAUAAUAUCAAAGAGAGAUAUAUAUUCUUCUCCUCUAUUAAUAAAGAGACAUUUUUACUUCCUUUUAAUAGUUAGGACUCAGAACUCAUACACGCUAGUUUGAGAGUGUGGGGUGUGACAAUGGGCCAAGAGACCAUUGACAAAUACAAAAGAGUGGUAGAAAUUAAUUCAAACCGCUACACACGCUAUUGCAACCAAAUUGAGGGCACAUUUUUGUUUAUUUAGUUGAAAAGUAGUCUGUAAAAUUAACUCAAACCGCUACAUACGCUAUUGCAACCCAAUUGAGGGCCCAUUUUGUUUAUUUUGUUGAAAAGUAGUUUGCGCAAUUAAUUCAAACCGCUACACACGCUAUUGCAUCUUUUGAAAAAGAAAAAUGGAAUAAUUUUUCAAAAUUAAUUUAGAGAAUAAGAUUUACUAAUAAUGAUGUUAGAAAUCUUGAUAUUUGAAUCUUAAUAUUAUCUAUCACUCAUUUAUUAAAUAAUAGAUUUCAUAGUUUGUAAAAUUACUUAACCACUUGAUAAAUGUUAUAUUUGUUGGGACUAGAUUGGGACUUAAAUAUUGGAAUAUCUAGUAUUGCAUAAAAAAAAACUUAACAAUUUAUCUUCACACGACUAAUUGUUUUUACAUCACAACUAACCUUAAUUAUUUUAAAAGUUAUAGUAUUAUUAAAUUGCCCUAACUAGUUAUCAAAAGGUGAAACCAUGUUUUAAAAAGAAAUUACUAAGAAACAUUUGUUUAAACGAAGGUUAAGGUUAUGAUCAAUUAAUUAAGAAGAAACUUACUAUCAAAGGUUAAGAUUAUGAACAAUUUAAGGAAGUUAUUGAGUAGAGAAAGGGACAGAAUGGUUGUCUGAUUUGUCGGUGACAAGAAUGCUUGUGUUGUGAAAAGAAAGCCGAUGGUUUGUAAAUUUGUUGAAUUUUUCGCUCGCUUCAAUGACUUGCUUAUGCCCAAUAUAUUACUUUGCACAGUAGUAUUUGGGAUCCUAACAAUCAACUCUUAAUUUGGUCCCAAUUAGUAUAGUAAUCAUCUAUUGAGCGGUAAAAUAUUAAUUCUAAUAGUCAUGAAAUCCAAUAUAUAAUAGAUUAAUAACACACAUAAAUUAAAACAUAACUGUCUGAAAUCAUAACAUUACUCUACUCUUCAGUGAAGUUCUCUUAAACUGAUUAUGUGAAAGCAAUAUUCGCUUUUUGAUUAUAUCCAUAACUUUGAAUUGAUAAAGUUGUAUUCAACAGCUCUUGAAAAGACUAAGCAGGUCUUCUUUGCAUUUGAUCACUGGCAUUUCAGUUAAGUUUGUCACUUACUUAAAAUUUUCUUGCUUUCAAUUUCCACUGUUAUUUUUUUUUAAUAAAAUAAUUUAUUUAAACUAGUCAUAGAAAUAAGAGAGAAAAGGGGUCAUUUCUUGACUCAAAGUCAAUUAUAAUUAUCAAAACUUGAGGGGACAUCGCAUGCCUAAAUUCCACGCACCCUAAAACGGUUUGAUUUGCUUUCACGCGUUCAUGAAUUUCCAUGAAAGAGCCUGCCUUUCGUCUCUUUCGGGACAAUGACUACAAUUAUGGAAAAAAUUAUAAUUCUCGUUAGAUUGUAACCAAAUUAUUAUCCCUAAUUUUUUUAAGUUAAAUAAAAUAAAAUUCAUGCCUAAGUAUUUAGUAAUUAGAGAGAGAUAGAGAGGAUUGAGGGCCAAUGUUUCACGAUUUGGGGUCAAUUCAAAGUCAACUAACGUGUAAAACACGUGUAUGCAUAGAAAACGCUUAGAUUAUUUGUGUUCCAAGUGCAAGAAAUUAAGAAAAGAAAAAUUGAUUUCCUUUCAUGAACUUCCAAGAAAGAAAGAAGACCCUUCACCUUCUUCGUUACAACAAAUGAAUGAAUGAUGUUGAUAUGACAAAUACAAGCGCUAUUACAGGGAACAGCAUAAGACUGAGACUUGAUAAAGUGUUUGUUAAAUUACAUGUUAUUUUCUUUUAACUUGAAUGAUGUUGAAAAUAAAAUAAAAUAAAAUUGUAAUCAGGGUGAUGUGUGGAAUAUAGUGAAAUAAAUAAAUAGAGAAGAGAAAUUUGUUGAUCAAUAUUAAAGACACAUCCAAAGUGAUCGUCAAAGUCUAGAGGUUCGGUAUGAUUAGCAUUUAUUUUAUUUUUUUUGGCUUAGCAUCAUAUAUAGUCACCUGUCGUGUGAUCUAGGACAGGUUUAGAAAUCCUUUUAUUUUAACUUCUGUAUUCUUAUUAUUUAAUUAGUUAUAGGGUUUUUAAGUAUUUGAGUAUUGAUCACAUGUCUCCUAAUCUAAAAAUAUGUUUUUACGAGUACAAAUAACAAACUAGGAUUUUAACAGCCUUUUAUACUAAACCCUAAAAAUACAUGAAUUUAUCAAAAUAAGUAAAUUAAUUUAAAUUGGUAUGGCAUAGUAGAAGUUUUACCUGCCGAAACAAAUUAAAAAAAUAUUACACUUAAAUCAAAUAUUGACAAAAAUAGAUAACAAUCUAAUGAGAAUCUUAACUAGACAUUUUUACUUCUAUCCAAUUUAACUGGAAUGAGAAUUAAGUCCUGUCAAUAGUUAGGACUCAUAACUCAUACACACUAAUUUGAGAGUGUGGGGUGUGACAAUGGGUCAAAAGACCAUUGACAAGUAUAAAAGAGUGGUCGUAAUUAAUUCAAACCGCUACACACGCUAUAUUGAGGGCCCACUUUUGUUUAUUUCGUUGAAAAGUAGUUUUCACAAUUAAUUCAAACUGCUACACAUGCUAUUGCGUUUUUUUUUUUUUUUUUUUGAAGGGAAGCAAUUUCAUUAAACCAAAACGAAUUACAGACUAUGUAAUAACCACAAAGGUGGAACGAAAUUCCACUCUUGGGGACCUGACAUAGAACCUACUGCCCUUGCAACAGAGUGAGCAGCCAGGUUCGCAGACCGACGUACAAACGAGAAUUGUACUUCUCUUAAAGACUUAGCUAAAGCUCGACAUUCAUCAACUAUUAAACCAAAACCGUUAGGCCCUGAAAACUCCUCAACUAGAGCUUGAAAUACUUGUAAACAAUCAGUUUCAACAAUGACACAAGGAAAUUGUAAGCCUUUAAGCCAACUAAGGGCCUCCCGAAUACCAAGAGCUUCAGCCUCCCUUGCUCCAAAAUUCCCAGCCAUUCCAGCACAUCUUGCUGUUAAGAAAACACCCUCUGAAUUUCGAAGCACACACCCAAAACCAAUAUUUCCCUGAGAUGAAAAGAUAGCAGCGUCAACAUUACAUUUGACCCAACCAAACUUUGGCCUCUCCCAACAUAUUGCCCCAUGGACCAGCUUAUGGACAUCAGUAUCAGCAUAGAAUUGUUGCUUCUUUGCUGCUUGCCACUGAUAGAGAAGUUGCCCAGCAGAAUUGAGCACUUGAUUCACUGAAUCAGUUUUGUUAUUCCAUACUUUGUCAUUCCGAUUAAUCCAAACUCUCCAGCAGAUCAUCAUGGCAACAUGGCAUUCUUCUUUGCUGCAGCGUGUAAAGAUGUGAUCAAGCCACUCUAAGAAAGAAUAACAAUGGCCAACAAAACCCACAGAGGAAGAAAUCCAGCAAGCCUUAGCAACAUUACACUCAACCAACGAAUGGAGAAUAGUUUCAUCAGAAGCAAGACACACAGCACAAGUAGGGGGGAUAUUCACCCUCUUAGAAAUUAAAUUAACUGCAGUAGGCAGCACAUUAGUUGCCGCUCGCCAAACAAAAUUCUUAACCUUAUUCGGCACAUUCAAGUUCCAUAGUUUUCGCCACACAUCUGUGAAAGGGUCAGGGGUAAGAGAAUGUAAAACCUUAUAACAGCUACGGACUGAAUAGCAUCCGCGAGAAUCAGCCAACCAAUACCACACAUCAUCAUUUCGGCGGGAACUAAGGGGAAUUUGAAGAAUCAACUCCUUGUCUCUUGCGUUGAAAAGAUCCGAAACAAGAUCAUAAUCCCAAGCUCGUUGAUUAGGCACCAGUAAACUACUAACAGGAGCUGCAGCAAGCUCGGCAUGGAGAUUAGAAGGAACAAAUCCAUUAUUAGUAUCAGGAAGCCACGGAUCCUUACCAAUGAAGAUCGAAUUUCCACAGCCAACUUGCAGUCUACUCCCUUGAAUUACCACAUCCUUUGCAGCCAAAAUAGAGCGCCACACAUAGCUAGGAUUAUGCCCCGCAGAAGCUUGAAGAACAGAGGUGCGCGGAUGGUAGCGAGCUUUAAUUAUCUUGGCCACAAGAGAUUCCGGACAAGUUAACAGCUUCCACAUUUGCUUUCCUAACAUCGCUAUAUUGAAUAAAUGAAGUUGUUUAAAACCAAGGCCACCAUAUCCUUUUGGUUUGCACAGAUUUUCCCAUUUGGACCAGUUUAAAAAAGAAAAAUGGAAUAGUUUUCCAAAAUUAAUUCAGAGAAGAAGAUUUACUAAUAAUGAUGUUAGAAAUCUUAAUAUUAUGUAUCACUCAUUUAUUAAAUAAUAGAUUUUAUAGUUUGUAAAUUUACUUAACCACUUGAUAAAUGUUAUAUUUGUUUGAAUUGAUCCAAUAGCUCUUGAAAAGCACAUAAUAAUCAUUAUAAAUUUAAUCAAAGACUAAGCAGGUCUUCUUUGCAUUUGAUCACUGGCAUUUCAGUUAAGUUUGUCAUUUAUUUAAAUUUUUCUUGCUUUCAAUUUCCACUGUUGUUUUUUUUAAUAAAAUAAUUUAUUUAAACUAGUCAUAGAAAUAAGAGAGAAAGGGCGCCAUUUCUUGACUCAAAGUCAAUUAUAAUUAUCAAAACUUGAGCGGACAUUGCAUGCCUAAAUUCCACGCACCCUAAAACGGUUUGAUUUGCCUUCACGCGUUCAUGAUUUUCCAUGAAAGAGAGUGCCUCUCGUCUCUUUCCGGACAGUGACUGCAAUUAUGUUAACGUGACGAAUACAAAACGUUAUUACAUACAAGAAUAAGUUUUUGGAGCCGAUACUUGAGGGAGGUUCUAUCUAAUUCUAAAGAUUGUAACCAAAUCAUUAUCCCUAAUUUUUUUAAGUUAAAUAAAAUAAAAUUCAUGCUUAAGUAUAAAUAAUUUUUUUAAGUUAAAUAUAAAAUAAAAUUCAUGAACUUCCUAGAAAGAAAGAAGACCCUUCACCUUCUUCGCGACAACAAAUGAUGUUGACAUGACAAAUACAAGCUCUAUUACAGGGAACAGCAUGAGACCGAGACUUGAUAAAUAUUAAAUAUAUAAAAUAAGUGGAGCAAACGAACAGAAUAAUAGAUAUUUUAUAAUAUUCUUCAUAAAAAUCCAUGUUUUGAGCCUGCCUAUAAGCUUAUCUAGUGAAGUCUGGGUAUCCGCGUUGCCCAAGGUUCCGUUUGAAUCCAGGCCGUGUAGAUGUUUAAGACAUCGCAUAUGGACGGAGUGGAAAUAUUUUCAGUUGACUGAAUUAAAUAAAAAUAUAUUACAAUCAUAUUAUAUAUUAGCAGCAAAAAUAAAAAGAAAUGAAGAAAAACGCAUGCAAGACUUAGACAAGUCAAUUAAAAGCUGGGAGUAUCAUCAGUUCAAUUGGUUAUAAAUAGCGUAGAGCCAUCCUCUCGUUGUUGCAGAACUGAAGCAAAGAGACUCAGAAAGAGUGUGUGUAGGUGAUUAUAAUUAAGAAGAUAUAAUGUGUGGUUCAAAAAGAGUGUGGGUGAGUGAGUUAAUUUUCAUAUUAUUAGUAGUAAAAGGGUGGUGGAGUGAGGGAUGUUUGGAGCAAGAGAGGUCUGCUCUCCUACAACUCAGACAUUUCUUCAAUGAUGAUCAACUUCUUCAAAACUGGGUAGACGAUGAGUAUUAUUCAGAUUGUUGUCAGUGGGAACGGGUUGAGUGCAACAACACCACUGGAAGAGUGAUUGAAUUACAACUACUAGAAACUCGAAAACAGGGAUCAGCAGAGUGGUAUAUGAAUGCCUCUCUGUUUACUCCAUUUCAACAAUUAGAGUCUCUUGAUUUAAUGGGGAACAAUAUAGCCGGUUGUGUUGAAAAUGAAGGUCCUUAAUUUACUCUAUUUUAAUUCUUCCUCGUAAUUUCUUACAUUUAUCUGAUCCCUUUUGAUUUUUGUUUAAUUUGUUCGUGAUACAAUAAAAUUACUUUUUAUUUUUUGUCAGGUCUAGAUAGGUUAUCAAGGUUGAACAACUUGAAGUUUCUUUACUUAAACCUUAACCACUUCAACAACAGCAUCUUUUCAUCCAUAGGUGGUCUUUCAUCACUCAGACGCUUAUCAUUGGCUAGUAAUGAAUUGAAUGGAAGUAUUGAUAUUAAAGGUAAGCAAGCUUCAUCCCUUCUCCCGUGUCCCAUCUUUUGUGGAUCUUAUUUUAUUGACCGGCUGGAAGUAUUGAUAUAAGAUCUGGCUAGACUCUUGCUAGUUUAAGCUUCAAGGAUUUAAAUAUUAUAAAAAUAGGUUUAAGAAAUUAUCAAUAUAUGCAAUUUUCAAUGCUUCUCAUAAUCAGACACAAUUCAAUCUAAUUAUUUUGUAUGUCCUGUCUUCAAAAGUAAAGAAUUGUACACUAAAUGGAAAUCGACAUCGUAGCUUUUUAUUUUUUCUAAUGCUCUUUUUUCGUUAACGAGUUUAUAUCCUAAGAGGGAUUGGAUUGAAAAAAAAAAAGUUUUGAUGUUCAAGGUAGGCCAUAAUAACCCGCAUCUUAUUUGUCUGCCUGUAUCUAAAUUUGUGCACUGAAUUUAGUAUUUUGGUUAUUGUGAAGGGAUCAGAUAUUGGCUUCCAUAGACCAACUUGUAUUUAGUUAAUUAAUUAAUUAACGACAUUUAAUAUUUAACAAAUUAAAAUUUCGUGUUUAAUCUAUUUUAAUUUUUUUAAGAAAAAAGAAAAAGAUAUAGCAAUAGGUAAAGCUAAAAUAAAUUUUAAUUCCUUACAAAUUUAAAUUCAUGGUUGUCAGCUAAAUAUACUUACUUAAAGCCACUCAGUCGAGCCCUUUGAGAGCUGCUUUAAAUUUUUAGCCAUAUUCUUUUCUUAUUAAUAAAAUUCUUUUCGCUGAGAUUUAACAUAAAAAAAGGAGAAAAUAAGUUAUUUAAUUAACUCUGUUUUAAGUGUUGGAAUAAAUACAGGACUGGAAUCCUUGAGUAACUUGGAGGAGCUGGGCAUGAGCGACAAUGCAAUCGACAAUCUAGUGGUUCCUAAAGGUAUACAAAAUGUUCAAAUAUUAAUAAUUUGGAGGACAGUUUAAUUGAUUUGAUUAGGGAAUGCCCAAUGACACUUACCCAAAAUAAUUUAAUCCGAAAUUGUAUCCCAAAUAGAUUACAGAGGUUUGAGGUAGUUGAAUACCUUUUAUUUGGGGAGGGGGGGGGGGGGGGGGGGGGGGGGGGGGAGGGAGGGAAAUUGCAGUGAUAUAUGGAAGCAAGGUGUUGCAAUAAAUAAAGAAAUUCGUUGGUCAAUAUUCAAGGACUCAUCCAAAGUAAUCGUUAAAGUCUAAAGCUCUGCUCUCCUCCAACUCAAACAUUUCUUCAAUGAUGAGAAUUAUUCAGAUUGUUGUCAGUGGGAAGGGGUUGAGUGCAACAACACCACUGGCAGAGUGAUUAAAUUAGAUCUAGGAGCCACUAGGAAUCGGGAAUCAGCAGAGUGGCAUAUGAAAGAUAACUAGAACUUGGAAUAACUUAAAUUAGCUAUAAAAUUAAGACCAUUAUACAACUAAAAAGAAAGAAAAAUUGUUUGCUACUACAUAUCAAAACUAGUAAUAGCAAUGAAAGAUGGCAGACUUCUUACUUAAACAGAUGAGAGGCUACAAAUAAAAAAUUUGUGCAAAUAAAUAUAUGAUAAAGAGCAUAAUACUUUCUUGGGGGCUAAAAAUAAUAUACAACUUGUGAAAUAUAAAUUGAGCUACCAUUACCUUUUAGAUGUGGCAACUUUCGACUUUUGAGGCACUUUGGAAUAUGCAUUCAGAAUCCUGCAUUUGGAAGCCAAAUAAAUAAUGUUAAUAACAAUUUUACAAUAGAAAAAUUAAAAAUUGAUAAAUGGCAGUUGUAAUUUAUGUAUGUGUAAAGAUAGCAUCACAUCCAGGGUCCUCCCAUAAACAUGCUUGUAACAAGAAUUAGUUUGCGUCAACUGCUAGCAACUAUACAAUAGUAAAAAUCACUCUUAUGAACUCAACAAUACUAGGCACCAAUAAGAGUAUGAUACAGCCAUUCUAAAUGGAAGAGAAUACAACUGUUUUACAACUAUGUUGCAUCAGGAGAUAUGUUAGGAGUUUUAAUCCAGAUACCUUCCAACCCAAUUAGGAAAACUCGAGUCAGAAACCAGGAGCUGCAACUGAACCUUACAAUCUUGAAGGAAGAAGGAGACUUGGGGCAUUUUUCUAGAUAGGUGACUUACUAGAUCUACUGCCAAGAAAAUAUCUAUUGCUUUGAACCUCCAUUGAAAUUUCUUUUCCCUUUUUCUUAUUUUGACUUGGAACUUUCCAGCAUCAUCUAUUUGAUCUUUUUUAAAGCUAAAAUAGCAAUCUACGGGUUGUCAACAUCUUAUCCCCCCCCCCCCCCGGGGGCCCCCAAAAAAAAAACAUCAAUGAGUUGUCAAUAAAUAGCGCCUACUCAACUUAUGUUCUCCAAUGGAUGACAAUGUGCAAAUCGACCUAGCAGCCACAUUUUCCCCCCCUUUCAACCACCAUUAGGCAACUUUUCUAACCUUUCUUCAUUGCCCACGUCUACAGAACUAUCAUAUAAAGACUACAAGAUAGACGCACGGUAUCUAAAUAAUUGUACCAACCCCCUCUCCUGAUUGUCAUAAAACGGCCAAUAUUUAACGCUCGACAACAAAAUUGCAAAUACUCUAGCCUCUAUAUUAUUGGCAUAUAAAUAUUUUCGGUUAGGUACAUUAUAUUCUUCGUUCUAAAACCUCAAUUAUUGGCUAGUACUGUGAUAAAAUGAUUCAUCACUGAAAAUAAAACUAGUUCACGUACAAAUAAUCAAAAACUGAAAUAGAAGCAACGAUAAACCAACCUGUAUUACGUCGAUUCAUCACAACAAACUGAAAUCGAGGCUGUGUGUUCCUGAAAAUUGAAAAAAUAAUAAUUUCACCAACUUCAUGUGUAAUACAAUCUCCAAAACACCAAAUAUCAAAUGAAAAAAUGGAAAGCAUAAGAUAGAAAAGAAUCUAAUUUUAUUGACCUUUUGACGACGACGAGAGAGCCUUCAACAUCCUUACGACUCCAUUGGCUGAGGUCGAUGUUGAACUCGUAGAAGGUGACAUGAGCGGCCGUGAUGAGGAUCUCCUCAAUGAAUGGAUCGAUUCGCUGAAGAACUGUCAGGUUUAGGAGUUUUGUGCUCUGCUGGUCCAGAUUAGGCAUCAAUUUUCCGUUAUGCGACAUUUUUCAUAGUCGUUUUGGGCUCUGCCCCGAGCACAAGCCCCAGGGUUUUUCUGUGAGCUCUCUCUUUUGUAAAUAAAGUGUUUGAUGAGAUAGCCGAGAGAGAGUGAAAGUGUUGAACAGCCAAACACGGUCUCGAGAUUGAUCUUGCUUUAACUUCUUUUAAACAUUUGGGAAAUAGCAUUUAUUUCUUUUAGUUUCUCUACUUUUUUUUUCCUUUAUGUCAUUUAGACCCCAAAAUUAGAUUUAUUAUAAUCCUAUUUUACCCAUACACUAUUAACCCCUUUUAUUUUUAAAAUUUGUCAAUAUUAAUGUGUUAGAAUAAUGUUAAAAAUCCCAAUUAUUAUCUCAAUGUUUCAAUCAUAACUAAUGUGAUAACUCAUUGGUAACUGCAACAUUAACUUAAUUAUUAAUGUAACACAAUAAAAGUUUCGUACAGAUUUUGAUAUUGAGAGUAACACAAUAAAAGUUUCAUACAGAUUUUGCAAACGAAAAGCACAUAAUACACUUAACUAGGAGGAAAAAUUAAGGUGUAUAUAUUACAAACUGCUAACAAUAUACAAUUGUAAAAAUCACUCACAAAUACUAGGCACCAAUAAGAGUAUGAUACAGCCAUUCUAAAUGAAAGAGAAUACAACUGUUUUACAACUAUGUCACAUCAAGAGAUAUGUUAGCAGGAUUAAUCCAGAUACCUUCGAACCCAAUUAACGAACUCGAGUCAGAAACCAGGGGCCCCCAACUAAACCUUACAAUCUUGAAGGAAGAAGGAGACUCGUGGUCCAGAUAGGUGACUUACUAGAUCUCCUGCAAAAGAGAAUAUCUAUUGCUUUGAACCUCCAUUGAAAUUUUUUUUUCCCUUUUUCUUGUUUUGACUUGGAACUUUCCAACAUCAUCUAUUUGAUCUUUUUUGAAGGUAAAAUAGCAAUCUAUAGGUUGCCAACAUGUUAUUCUGCCAAACCCCACCCCACCCCCCCGGGGGACAACAAAUCGACCUAGCACACACCUUUCUUCAUUGCCCACACCUACAGAACUAUAAUAAAAAGACUACGUUACUAUUGGGGUAGAGAAAAUAUACAGACUGUAUUAUUAUUACAUCGCAUUUUACUAAUUAACUAGUGCAAGACUUCUUUAGUGUCAAAUCAAGAACUAAUUAGAAAAGACAACUCAUGAUAAUACAGACCUUAAUAAGCAAUUGCUAACAACAUCCCAUAUACUCCUAUUUUAGCCUUCAUUAUCCUGGUAAAAACACAAAUAAGUCUUGCAAACGAACAUUUAUAAGUAAAUUCAACAUUAAUUAAGAUUAGGUAUCUACUGCACCUAAUAGCAUGGUCAACCAUCCAGUUCCUGUAGCCUUCCAUGUACCUAUGUUAGUUACAUUUUACAUAUUAAGCCACGAAAACGAAGAAUCACAGCCUGGUAAAGAAAGACAUUAAUUAAUAGUUUUUGUUUAAAAAGUUCUCCUUUAGAUCUUUCCUAUUCAAUGAAUCAAUGUAAUCUAAAGAGAAUUCUUCCAUUUCAAACAGUGUUAGAAGGUAUUUGCAAAGCCUAAAGAUAAUAUACAAGGACCAAGAUAUACACAGAUGGUUUCUUUAUGGAAUUAAAGAGCUUUAUAGAUGUUAAAACUGUUUCAAACAAUUUUUCUUGUUUGGUUUAACUAAGGAAAAGCUUGUGGAAGAUUAAAAAUGAUGUUUCCUAUUCUCUGUAGGAAACUUUUAGGAGAUUUUUUGGGCUUUUUUGAAAGGUUGAAUUGUCAAAAAUACCUUGAUGUUAUUGUUUGCUAAAAGAUGUUACGGACAUCUAAACAACCAACAACAUUUUGUUAAAAGCUCUACUAGUGUAGGAUCUACUUAAAGAAGCUAUACCAAACAGACUCUUAGACUGAAUAACUCGAUCUUAAGUUUGUAAAAUUGGGCUCAGAAUCUCCACUAACAACCCCGCUUCGGUGAGAAAGCCCAAGCCUGUUACUUUGUAUAACCUUAUUCUGUAUGUUUGAUUGCAGGAACUGGCCGAUCAUACCGACGAGGUGAGUGUGCAACAUGAGGUGCUUGACGGGAUGUUUACUUUCUAUGAUACAACUAAAGCUAGCCUCAACAUAUAUCAGGUGCCUGCUUGUUUUUACCUUCUAGAUACUAAUAUUGUUUAGACGUGUAAUCUCUCUCUCCAUUGAACGCUAGACGGCUCGUCUCAAGCCUUCUACGUACUUCAGAGUCCUUCACUAGCUUUUUAUGUAUAAAGUUUUGAUCUUUUUCCUUCAUUUGCUUGAAGCUCAUUACUGCAGAUUUUUUUUACAGGUUGGUAGUGUAACAUUCGACUUGCUGUUGCUUCUAGUCUUGGGAUCGUAUUUAAUUGUGCUUUUCAGCUUUCUUGUCAUAACAACUAGGGUAUCACUCUUUCUCCAUAUCAAGCUUGAAGUUCUAAAUUUCAGUUUUAUCUUUUAUUUGAUGUUUUAUAAUUUCAUUGCAAACAGAUUAGAAUAGAAACUUCAAAAGUUCCAACUGACUAGUCCCGUGUAACUUUUUCAGGGAAGAUUUUCUCUCAUAACAACUACGAACGUGUUAUGGUUUAGCCCAGUGACACAAAGGACAGUUUUCAACAAUUGAUCCUAGGAAGAUGCCCAUAGCUUGUUGUGCCAAAAAUAGAAAAUCUAAGAUGCGAAAAAAUUUUGUUGAGAUUCAUUUUUCAUCCUGAUGUUACCGCUGGCCUUUUUUUUUUUUUUUUUUGGCAGAGAAUAAUGCUUAUGUGAUUUCUGAACUUGGUGAUUGUUGAAAUGAGCUGAAAAUGAGCUGGAAAUGUGUUUGGUUAAUGAGAAAGAGAGCAAGAAAAUGAAAGAAAUCUAUUUCACUUUUUAUUUAUCAGCAUGAUUACAUUCACAAUGAAUCUAAGCUGCUAUUUAUACUUAAAUGACUACACACGAGAAUCUUCUUGCUAGAUACUUCUAGAAACUCUACACGCACACUCACACUGAGCUAGUGGUUACCAAAACCGUUACAACGAUAUUGCCAGCUCAGCAUAACCAACUUAUAACUAACACACUCAGCUGCAGGGGAAACCAUCAAGCUUACUGUGCGUCCUCUGUAAUCAAGCUUCUUUAAGCAUGCUCUGCAGAUCAUACGUCUGAAUUAUCGAAACAAGAUGAAUUAUUUUUUGUUUAUUGCAGCAGGCGAUCAAUGAGCGGAAUUUCUAGCUUGUAUUCAAUUCGCGAACACAGUUUGAGAAGAAUCAGACCAUUAAUUUUCUUUUGAGCCAAUCAACAGAAUGUACAUUUCUUCUAAGAACUUGUAACCGAAACCGCAGUUUUUCAGGUUUGAUGCAUCUGGGAAAAUUGUCAGAUGGAAUAAAACCACCAUGCGCCAAGGUACCAAUGAUGUUUCUUCCAGCUUAUGAGCACUUCAAAUAAACUUAGGUCAUAUUUACACAAGGGCGCACAUGAUAUCAAUCUAAUGGCAAUUAUAUCAUCUAAAAUCCAAAACCAAGAGUCUCCCAUUUUCCCGCCCUCUACUCUGUUCGUAUUAUCAUAACUUGAAGAUUGCAAGGCAGCCGCAAUCUCCCAGAUCUUUGCUCCUUCCUCAUAGCAGUUAGUCAAACGAUAAACAGAGAUAUCCCAUGUCAACAAGAAGGUAAUCAUAAAAGAACAACAGAAUUGUUGCAAUAUAUUCAUAUGAAAUGUAAAACAAUUUUGAGAAAAAAUAUUGGGAAGAUGAUUUUUUUUUUCAUAGAAGUUGCAAUCUUUACGUUAUAUGCUAGUUUGACUAUGCUAUAUAAGGAAGCUAUAUGAAAUUAGAAAAAUAAGCUAUACUAGGAAAGAAUAAAUAUAUGUACAGAAAAUGAGGCUAUAAUCCCUGACUUUCAACAAAUUUAAUAUCAAUUUUCUUCUGGAAGUUGUCUCAAAUGGGGUGCAUCAGUAUUGUAACAUACUGUGAGAUGCUUAAACUCAACAAUAUAAGCAUGGUAAAUUAGAGAAAAAUGAUGCAAUUUUACCUUCCCAUUCAUGUAUGCCAAGGCUUUUUGGGCUUCCUCUUCUGUACUGAAAGUCACAUACCCGUAACCUUUUGAUCUAUUCUUACCUUUAUCCAUUAUUAUUGUAGCUGCAAAAAGAAAAGAACCGGAUAUUACAAAAUAGUGAAAGGGAAGAGGGGUUGAGACUUAAAACAGAAAUAGACCAAACCCUCAGUGACUUGGCCAAAUUGUGAAAAAGCAUCAGCUAACAUCUCUUUAGUGGUCGAGAAAGAUACGCCUGCAAAGAAUGCCAGUUAAUUUUAUCAUAAUUAGAUGGUAAGAUUGCAAAUUCUGCAGCCAAAGGUGGUACGGAACUGAAUGAAGGAAAUCAAAUAUGAAUAUGUUUUCAAUCUUAAAAUAUUAAGAGUAGCAUAAGUAACUUGUGAAACAGUUAUAAGUUCAAGGGAAUUAGAUGAUGGCAUGGUUGAAUUUUAUAAAUAUUUGAUAUUUUGGACCGAACAGGGCAAACAGAUGGAUCCAGAUAAUCAAGAAAAACAUCAAUUCCAUGCAGCCAAAUUAGUGUGGGCAAUGCAAUUGAGCAACACUAUAAAAUUAUUCAAAGAAAUCUCUAGGUCAGUAUCCAAAUAUAUGGCUCCGUCCGUUCCACCACCACAACCAAAAAAAUCAGAUCCCCCCAUUUGGAUUCGAUUGAUUAAUUUGAGCAUAAAAAAUCGGGUUUUAAACUUCCCUAAGCAAAAUUUAUAUUCCACAGAAUCAGUUCCUUUAACAUGAUGCAUUACAUAAUAUUUUGUUUGCAAAAUAAAGAAGAAAGAUGACAUAAUAGAAACACUCACAGAGAGAGAAUACCUUUGACGAAAAGCUUAGAAGUGAAUCCUCUGUAAAAUACGAGUUGAGCUGCUGAAUUUUUCGAGUUUGAAUGAGAGACUGCGGCAAUUCUGAAAAUGUUUUUUUCUCAUUAGCGCCGCCAUUUUUGUAAUAGAGGGUAAAGAAAUAAGUAACAAAGUAAGAGGUGAGCAGAAGCGGCCCAAUUUAGUUAUAUGCCAUGCAUGCGAUCAAAAUUGAAUGGUUAAAUGGCAGCCACUAUGUUACAUCUUGUGUAAGUAACAAACCGCCUACAUGGAUCGUUGGAUUUGGGAAUAUGAAAUCCAAUGGAUAAUAUUGAAUUUAACGAAAAAUAGAUUACAGGUUGCAUUAGUCCAAGUUUAUUUCAAACAAACCAGCUGAUGAAAUAGCCGCUAAUCGAAUUUAAAAGGGAAAAAAAAUCAAAUUAUAGGUUAUAGAUCUUAUUUCCAUCUUAAAUCUAUGUCUUUCAUGGUGACUCAAUGUGUAUACUAAUUUAUAAUUUGGAUCUAUAUUAGAGGCUUAGAGCCAAUGCUUCCCUAAAUAACUAAGAAAAUUUUCUUUUCAUUGAUUAAAUAUUUAUUUCCAAUAUCUUGUAUAUGUAGGAUUUGAAAAGAGGGAAAAUAGUAGGGAUGAUGAUGAGAGAAGAUAAAGAUGUCGAUUCUCAAAUCUAAUAUUAAUGCUAUACUUAUAUUCCUAUAGUAAAUAAAUUAUCCAAGGUUCGUGGUUAAUGAUACGUUGCGAAAUUUUAACUGUCUAAUAUGGCUUUUCAUAAAGCUUAGAGAAAAGUAGGGCUUUUACAAAAAAAAAAAUUUAAUUAGAAUUGUCAAUGAUAAAUUUUAAAAAGUACUUUAAUAAAUAAGCUUUUAAAAUUAUAUAUAUUAUGAAAGAAAUGAAAUAAGAUUAUAUAAUAAAUUAAGAGUAUCUUAGAUAAUUGAACUUUAAAAAUAAAACUUGCUAAGAGGUUUAAAAUUUGAGUUUUUAAUAGUGGAUACAAAAUAGUUUAUUUAAUUCUCAAAAGUACUAUUCAAAAUACAACCAUGUAACACAAAAAUUUUUAAUAAGUUUUUUGGACUAGUUAAGUACUUUUUUUGAAAAAAAAUAUAUUUUUUUCAUUGAGUAAAUAAUACUAAACAUGCACUAAAGUGUUAGGACCAGAAGUUGUACAAAUAAAACCAUGAAAUUAUAUGUUGUUGGAUGGAUAUUUUUCAAAUUUGCUGUAGUUUUUUUUUUUUAAUUUUCUGCUGGGAAAUUGAAAUGAUGGCUACAACUUAAAUUAUGAAUGGAGUAAUCGGAGAAUAUUGAAACCCAUUUAAUUUGGAUCGUGCAUUGAGGGACGAAAGGAUAAAAAAUUUAAUUUUGAAAUUGCUGUUGGGUACGGUACAAUGACUUACCGUUGACAGCUUUUGCAACCGGAUUACAAUCGGUUAGUUCAAUAAUUUUAUAUCCCUAUUUAACCGCCACGUGCUGCUGUUACAUGGGUCAAUUAAUCAUGUCUUUACCGAUACUUACAACUGCUGGUUAAAUUCUGUUGUUUCCAAUAAUUUUAUGCUGUAUCUUCUUUAAUAAUAAAGAAAACUUGCAUUAAAAUUAAAAUUAGGGUAAUACCUGAUUUUAUAAAUAGAUUGCAAUGUAAUUUUGAAAAAUAAAACAAUAAUUUACAAAAUGUUUAUAACAUAAUUUUAAUUUUUUUCAAAAAGGAAAAACAACAAAAGUAAGAAAUAGAGAAUAAGGGCUACCAACUUUGUAUCUUAAACGGCCGUUAAAUUAUUUGUAAAUGAAAGCAACGGUCAGAUAUUGGUGGAUUAUGGAAACAUGUAAUCAUAAGGACUACGAGUUUUUUUUGUUACAUUGAUAUAUUACAAUUAAAAUUCUAUUGGUAUUUACAACUAGAAUUUCAUCUGACUAUCUUUGAUAAUUCUAAACUAGUACAGCCCAAAUUCUUAUUCUCAUAUAAUAUCAAAGAUAGAUAUAUAUUCUUUUCCUCCAUUAAUAACGAGACAUUUUUACUUCUAUCCAAUUUAAAUAGAACAAGAAUUAAGUCAUUUUAAUAGUUAGGACUCAGAACUCAUACACACUAGUUUGAGAGUGUGGGGUGUGACAAUGGGCCAAGAGACCAUUGACAAGUACAAAAGAGUGGUAGAAAUUAAUUCAAACCGCUACACACGCUAUUGCAACCAAAUUGAGGGCCCAUUUUUGUUUAUUUCGUUGAAAAGUAGUCUGUAAAAUUAACUCAAACCGCUACAUACGCUAUUGCAACCCAAUUGAGGGCCCAUUUUUGUUUAUUUUGUUGAAAAGCAGUUUGCGCAAUUAAUUCAAACUGCUACACACGCUAUUGCAUCUUUUGAAAAAGAAAAAUGGAAUAGUUUUUCAAAAUUAGUUUAGAGAAUAAGAUUUACUAAUAAUGAUGUUAGAAAUCUUAAUAUUUGAAUCUUAAUAUUAUCUAUCACUCGUUUAUUAAAUAAUAGAUUUCAUAGUUUGUAAAAUUACUUAACCACUUGAUAAAUGUUAUAUUUGUUGGGACUAGAUUGGGACUUAAAUAUUGGAAUAUCUAGUAUUGCAUAAAAAAAAAAAAACUUAACAAUUUAUCUUCACACGACUAAUUGUUUUUACAUCACAACUAACCUUAAUUAUUUUAAAAGUUAUAGUAUUAUUAAAUUGCCCUAACUAGUUAUCAAAAGGUGAAAGCAUGUUUAAAAAAGAAAUUACUAAGAAACAUUUGUUUAAACGAAGGUUAAGGUUAUGAUCAAUUAAUUAAGAAGAAACUUACUAUCAAAGGUUAAGAUUAUGAACAAUUUAAGGAAGUUAUUGAGUAGAGAAAGGGACAGAAUGGUUGUCUGAUUUGUCGGUGACAAGAAUGCUUGUGUUGUGAAAAGAAAGCCGAUGGUUUGUAAAUUUGUUGAAUUGGUCCCAAUUAGUAUAGUAACCAUCUAUUGAGCGGUAAAAUAUUAAUUUAAAUAGUCAUGAAAUCUAAUAUAUAAUAGAUUACUAACACACAUAAAUUAAAACUUAAUUGUCAGAAAUCAUAACAUUAUUCUAAGCUUCAGUGGAGUUCUCUUAACAGAUUAUGUGAGAUUGCCUAUAUUAAAAAUAUGUUGAGACUGCUUGUUGAAAGCAAUAUUCGCUUUUCCAUUAUAUCCAUAACUUUGAAUUGAUAAAGUUGUAUUCAGCAGCUCUUGAAAAGACUAAUUUAUUUUAACUAGUCAUAGAAAUAAGAGAGAAAAGGGGCUAUUUCUUGACUCAAAGUCAAUUAUAAUUAUCAAAACUUGAGGGGACAUCGCAUGCCUAAAUUCCACGCACCCUAAUACGGUUUGAUUUGCUUUCACGCGUUCAUGAAUUUCCAUGAAAGAGCCUGCCUUUCGUCUCUUUCGGGACAGUGACUACAAUAAUGGAAAAAAUUAUAAUUCUCGUUAGAUUGUAACCAAAUUAUUAUCCCUAAUUUUUUUAAGUUACAUAUAAUAAAAUUCAUGCUUAAGUAUUUAGUAAUUAGAGAGAGAUAGAGAGGAUUGAGGGCCAAUGUUUCGCGAUUUGGGGUCAAUUCAAAGUCAACUAACGUGAAAAACACGUGUAUGCAUAGAAAACGCUUAGAUUAUUUGUGUUCCAAGUGCAAGAAAUUAAGAAAAGAAAAAUUGAUUUCCUUUCAUGAACUUCCAAGAAAGAAAGAAGACCCUUCACCUUCUUCGUUACAACAAAUGAAUGAAUGAUGUUGAUAUGACAAAUACAAGCGCUAUUACAGGGAACAACAUAAGACUGAGACUUGAUAAAGUGUUUGUUAAAUUACAUGUUAUUUUCUUUUAACUUGAAUGAUGUUGAAAAUAAAAUAAAAUAAAAUUGUAAUCAGGGUGAUGUGUGGAAUAUAGUGAAAUAAAUAAAUAGAGAAGAGAAAUUUGUUGAUCAAUAUUAAAGACACAUCCAAAGUGAUCGUCAAAGUCUAGAGGUUCGGUAUGAUUAGCAUUUAUUUUAUUUUUUUUGGCUUAGCAUCAUAUAUAGUCACCUGUCGUGUGAUCUAGGACAGGUUUAGAAAUCCUUUUAUUUUAACUUCUGUAUUCUUAUUAUUUAAUUAGUUAUAGGGUUUUUAAGUAUUUGAGUAUUGAUCACAUGUCUCCUAAUCUAAAAAUAUGUUUUUACGAGUACAAAUAACAAACUAGGAUUUUAACAGCCUUUUAUACUAAACCCUAAAAAUACAUGAAUUUAUCAAAAUAAGUAAAUUAAUUUAAAUUAGUAUGGCAUAGUAGAAGUUUUACCUGCCGAAACAAAUUAAAAAAAUAUUACACUUAAAUCAAAUAUUGACAAAAAUAGAUAACAAUCUAAUGAGAAUCUUAACUAGACAUUUUUACUUCUAUCCAAUUUAACUGGAAUGAGAAUUAAGUCAUGUCAAUAGUUAGGACUCAUAACUCAUACACACUAAUUUGAGAGUGUGGGGUGUGACAAUGGGUCAAAAGACCAUUGACAAGUAUAAAAGAGUGGUCGUAAUUAAUUCAAACCGCUACACACGCUAUAUUGAGGGCCCACUUUUGUUUAUUUCGUUGAAAAGUAGUUUUCACAAUUAAUUCAAACUGCUACACAUGCUAUUGCGUUUUUUUUUUUUUUUUUUUUUUUGAAGGGAAGCAAUUUCAUUAAACCAAAACGAAUUACAGACUAUGUAAUAACCACAAAGGUGGAACGAAAUUCCACUCUUGGGGACCUGACAUAGAACCUACUGCCCUUGCAACAGAGUGAGCAGCCAGGUUCGUAGACCGACGUACAAACGAGAAUUGUACUUCUCCUAAAGACUUAGCUAAAGCUCGACAUUCAUCAACUAUUAAACCAAAACCGUUAGGCCCUGAAAACUCCUCAACUAGAGCUUGAAAUACUUGUAAACAAUCAGUUUCAACAAUGACACAAGGAAAUUGUAAGCCUUUAAGCCAACUAAGGGCCUCCCGAAUACCAAGAGCUUCAGCCUCCCUUGCUCCAAAAUUCCCAGCCAUUCCAGCACAUCUUGCUGUUAAGAAAACACCCUCUGAAUUUCGAAGCACACACCCAAAACCAAUAUUUCCCUGAGAUGAAAAGAUAGCAGCGUCAACAUUACGUUUGACCCAACCAAACUUUGGCCUCUCCCAACAUAUUGCCCCAUGGACCAGCUUAUGGACAUCAGUAUCAGCAUAGAAUUGUUGCUUCUUUGCUGCUUGCCACUGAUAGAGAAGUUGCCCAGCAGAAUUGAGCACUUGAUUCACUGAACCAGUUUUGUUAUUCCAUACUUUGUCAUUCCGAUUAAUCCAAACUCUCCAGCAGAUCAUCAUGGCAACAUGGCAUUCUUCUUUGCUGCAGCGUGUAAAGAUGUGAUCAAGCCACUCUAAGAAAGAAUAACAAUGGCCAACAAAACCCACAGAGGAAGAAAUCCAGCAAGCCUUAGCAACAUUACACUCAACCAACGAAUGGAGAAUAGUUUCAUCAGAAGCAAGACACACAGCACAAGUAGGGGGGAUAUUCACCCUCUUAGAAAUUAAAUUAACUGCAGUAGGCAGCACAUUAGUUGCCGCUCGCCAAACAAAAUUCUUAACCUUAUUCGGCACAUUCAAGUUCCAUAGUUUUCGCCACACAUCUGUGAAAGGGCCAGGGGUAAGAGAAUGUAAAACGUUAUAACAGCUACGGACUGAAUAGCAUCCGCGAGAAUCAGCCAACCAAUACCACACAUCAUCAUUUCGGCGGGAACUAAGGGGAAUUUGAAGAAUCAACUCCUUGUCUCUUGCGUUGAAAAGAUCCAAAACAAGAUCAUAAUCCCAAGCUCGUUGAUUAGGCACCAGUAAACUACUAACAGGAGCUGCAGCAAGCUCGGCAUGGAGAUUAGAAGGAACAAAUCCAUUAUUAGUAUCAGGAAGCCACGGAUCCUUACCAAUGAAGAUCGAAUUUCCACAGCCAACUUGCAGUCUACUCCCUUGAAUUACCACAUCCUUUGCAGCCAAAAUAGAGCGCCACAUAUAGCUAGGAUUAUGCCCCGCAGAAGCUUGAAGAACAGAGGUGCGCGGAUGGUAGCGAGCUUUAAUUAUCUUGGCCACAAGAGAUUCCGGACAAGUUAACAGCUUCCACAUUUCCUUUCCUAACAUCGCUAUAUUGAAUAAAUGAAGUUGUUUAAAACCAAGGCCACCAUAUCCUUUUGGUUUGCACAGAUUUUCCCAUUUGGACCAGUUUAAAAAAGAAAAAUGGAAUAGUUUUCCAAAAUUAAUUCAGAGAAGAAGAUUUACUAAUAAUGAUGUUAGAAAUCUUAAUAUUAUGUAUCACUCAUUUAUUAAAUAAUAGAUUUCAUAGUUUGUAAAUUUACUUAACCACUUGAUAAAUGUUAUAUUUGUUUGAAUUGAUCCAAUAGCUCUUGAAAAGCACAUAAUAAUCAUUAUAAAUUUAAUCAAAGACUAAGCAGGUCUUCUUUGCAUUUGAUCACUGGCAUUUCAGUUAAGUUUGUCAUUUAUUUAAAUUUUUCUUGCUUUCAAUUUCCACUGUUGUUUUUUUUAAUAAAAUAAUUUAUUUAAACUAGUCAUAGAAAUAAGAGAGAAAGGGCGCCAUUUCUUGACUCAAAGUCAAUUAUAAUUAUCAAAACUUGAGCGGACAUUGCAUGCCUAAAUUCCACGCACCCUAAAACGGUUUGAUUUGCUUUCACGCGUUCAUGAUUUUGCAUGAAAGAGAGUGCCUCUCGUCUCUUUCCGGACAGUGACUGCAAUUAUGUUAACGUGACGAAUACAAAACGUUAUUACAUACAAGAAUAAGUUUUUGGAGCCGAUACUUGAGGGAGGUUCUAUCUAAUUCUAAAGAUUGUAACCAAAUCAUUAUCCCUAAUUUUUUUAAGUUAAAUAAAAUAAAAUUCAUGCUUAAGUAUAAAUAAUUUUUUUAAGUUAAAUAUAAAAUAAAAUUCAUGAACUUCCUAGAAAGAAAGAAGACCCUUCACCUUCUUCGCGACAACAAAUGAUGUUGACAUGACAAAUACAAGCUCUAUUACAGGGAACAGCAUGAGACCGAGACUUGAUAAAUAUUAAAUAUAUAAAAUAAGUGGAGCAAACGAACAGAAUAAUAGAUUUUUAUAAUAUUCUUCAUAAAAAUCCAAGUUUUGAGCUGGCCUAUAAGCUUAUCUAGUGAAGUCUGGGUAUCCGCGUUGCCCAAGGUUCCGUUUGAAUCCAGGCCGUGUAGAUGUUUAAGACAUCGCAUAUGGACGGAGUGGAAAUAUUUUCAGUUGACUGAAUUAAAUAAAAAUAUAUUACAAUCAUAUUAUAUAUUAGCAGCAAAAAUAAAAAGAAAUGAAGAAAAACGCAUGCAAGACUUAGACAAGUCAAUUAAAAGCUGGGAGUAUCAUCAGUUCAAUUGAUUAUAAAUAGCGUAGAGCCAUCCUCUCGUUGUUGCAGAACUGAAGCAAAGAGACUCAGAAAGAGUGUGUGUAGGUGAUUAUAAUUAAGAAGAUAUAAUGUGUGGUUCAAAAAGAGUGUGGGUGAGUGAGUUAAUUUUCAUAUUAUUAGUAGUAAAAGGGUGGUGGAGUGAGGGAUGUUUGGAGCAAGAGAGGUCUGCUCUCCUACAACUCAGACAUUUCUUCAAUGAUGAUCAACUUCUUCAAAACUGGGUAGACGAUGAGUAUUAUUCAGAUUGUUGUCAGUGGGAACGGGUUGAGUGCAACGACACCACUGGAAGAGUGAUUGAAUUACAACUACUAGAAACUCGAAAACAGGGAUCAGCAGAGUGGUAUAUGAAUGCCUCUCUGUUUACUCCAUUUCAACAAUUAGAGUCUCUUGAUUUAAUGGGGAACAAUAUAGCCGGUUGUGUUGAAAAUGAAGGUCCUUAAUUUACUCUAUUUUAAUUCUUCCUCGUAAUUUCUUACAUUUAUCUGAUCCCUUUUGAUUUUUGUUUAAUUUAUUCGUGAUACAAUAAAAUUACUUUUUAUUUUUUGUCAGGUCUAGAUAGGUUAUCAAGGUUGAACAACUUGAAGUUUCUUUACUUAAACCUUAACCACUUCAACAACAGCAUCUUUUCAUCCAUAGGUGGUCUUUCAUCACUCAGACGCUUAUCAUUGGCUAGUAAUGAAUUGAAUGGAAGUAUUGAUAUUAAAGGUAAGCAAGCUUCAUCCCUUCUCCCGUGUCCCAUCUUUUGUGGAUCUUAUUUUAUUGACCGGCUGGAAGUAUUGAUAUAAGAUCUGGCUAGACUCUUGCUAGUUUAAGCUUCAAGGAUUUAAAUAUUAUAAAAAUAGGUUUAAGAAAUUAUCAAUAUAUGCAAUUUUCAAUGCUUCUCAUAAUCAGACACAAUUCAAUCUAAUUAUUUUGUAUGUCCUGUCUUCAAAAGUAAAGAAUUGUACACUAAAUGGAAAUCGACAUCGUAGCUUUUUAUUUUUUCUAAUGCUCUUUUUUCGUUAACGAGUUUAUAUCCUAAGAGGGAUUGGAUUGAAAAAAAAAAAAGUUUUGAUGUUCAAGGUAGGCCAUAAUAACCCGCAUCUUAUUUGUCUGCCUGUAUCUAAAUUUGUGCACUGAAUUUAGUAUUUUGGUUAUUGUGAAGGGAUCAGAUAUUGGCUUCCAUAGACCAACUUGUAUUUAGUUAAUUAAUUAAUUAACGACAUUUAAUAUUUAACAAAUUAAAAUUUCGUGUUUAAUCUAUUUUAAUUUUUUUAAGAAAAAAGAAAAAGAUAUAGCAAUAGGUAAAGCUAAAAUAAAUUUUAAUUCCUUACAAAUUUAAAUUCAUGGUUGUCAGCUAAAUAUACUUACUUAAAGCCACUCAGUCGAGCCCUUUGAGAGCUGCUUUAAAUUUUUAGCCAUAUUCUUUUCUUAUUAAUAAAAUUCUUUUCGCUGAGAUUUAACAUAAAAAAAGGAGAAAAUAAGUUAUUUAAUUAACUCUGUUUUAAGUGUUGGAAUAAAUACAGGACUGGAAUCCUUGAGUAACUUGGAGGAGCUGGGCAUGAGCGACAAUGCAAUCGACAAUCUAGUGGUUCCUAAAGGUAUACAAAAUGUUCAAAUAUUAAUAAUUUGGAGGACAGUUUAAUUGAUUUGAUUAGGGAAUGCCCAAUGACACUUACCCAAAAUAAUUUAAUCCGAAAUUGUAUCCCAAAUAGAUUACAGAGGUUUGAGGUAGUUGAAUACCUUUUAUUUGGGGAGGGGGGGGGGGGGGAGGGAGGGAAAUUGCAGUGAUAUAUGGAAGCAAGGUGUUGCAAUAAAUAAAGAAAUUCGUUGGUCAAUAUUCAAGGACUCAUCCAAAGUAAUCGUUAAAGUCUAAAGGUCUGCUCUCCUCCAACUCAAACAUUUCUUCAAUGAUGAGAAUUAUUCAGAUUGUUGUCAGUGGGAAGGGGUUGAGUGCAACAACACCACUGGCAGAGUGAUUAAAUUAGAUCUAGGAGCCACUAGAAAUCGGGAAUCAGCAGAGUGGCAUAUGAAUGCUUCUCUGUUUUCUCCAUUUCAACAAUUAGAAUCUCUUGAUUUAACUGGGAACAAUAUAGCCGUUUGUGUUGAAAAUGAAGGUCCUCAAUUUACUCUACUCUAAUUCUCCCUCGUAAUUUCUAGCAUUUAUCUGAUCCCUUUUAGCUUGUGUUUAAUUUGUACGUGAUACAAUAAAAUUAGGUUUUAUUUUUUAUUUUUUAUUUUUUGGCAGGUCUAGAUAAGUUAUCAAGGUUGAACAACUUGAAGUCUCUUUAUUUAGACUUUAACCACUUCAACAACAGCAUCUUUUCAUCUCUAGGUGAUCUUUCAUCACUCAAACACUUUUCAUUGGCUGGUAAUGAAUUGAAUGGAAGUAUUGAUAUUGAAGGUGAGUAAGCUUCAUCCCUUCUCCCGUGUCCCAUCUUUUGUGGAUCUUAUUUCAUUGAGCAGCUGGAGGUACUGAUGUUAGAUCUAGCUAGACUCUUGCUAGUUUAGGCUUCAAGGCUUCGAUUACUAUAAAAAUAGGUGUAAGAAAUCAUCAAUACAUGCAAUUUUCAGUGCUUCUCAAAAUCAGACACAGUUUAGUCUAAUUAUUUUGUAUGUCCCGUCUUUAAAAGUAAAGAAUUGUAUUGUAAUUGGAAAUCGACAACGUAGCUUUUCAUUUUCUGUAAUGCUCUUUCUUCGUUAACAAGUUUAUAUCUUAAGAGAGAUUGGAUUCGGAAAAAGUUUUCACGCUCAAGGUAAGCCAUAAUAACUUCUUUCUUCGUUAACAAGUUCAUUAGUUCAAUUGGCAACUGUUUUUUAAGUUUUUCUGGUUAGCCGUAUACUUUUUUGCUUAUUAAUAAAAUUCUUUUGCGCCGAGAUUUAAAAAUAAAGGAGGAGAAAAUAAGUUAUUUAAUUAACCUUGUUUUAAGUGUUGGCAUAAAUACAGGACUGGAUUCCUUGAGUAACUUGGAGGUGCUGGACAUGAGCUUCAAUGCAAUCGACAAUCUUGUGGUUCCUAAAGGUAUACAAAAUGUUCAAAUAUUAAUAAUUUGGAGGACAAUUUAAUAGAUUUGAUUAGGGAAUGCCCAAUGACACUUAUCCAAAAUAAUUUAAUCCGAAAUUGUAUCCCAAAUAGAUUACAGAGGCUUGAGGAAGUUGAAUACCCUUGUCUUAGGGGGAACGGAAAUUGCAAUGAUAGAUGGAAGUAAGGCGUUGCAAUCAAUAGGAUCACUACUGUCCCUCAAAACACUUUACCUUUUGUAUACUAAUUUUACAGGAACAGUAGUUAAUCAAGGUAAGUAAAUCUUUUAUGUCGAAAAUAAUUGAAUUAAUAUAUAUAGCUAAAAUUUAUUGUUUCUAUUUCUUUCUAAAUAGAAUUACACAAUUUCACCAACUUGGAAGAAUUGAUAUUGGUCGAGUCUGAUCUCCAUGUAAGCCAGCUUCUGCAAAGCAUCGCAUCAUUCACUUCGUUAAAGUAUUUGUCAAUGCAAGUUAGUGUACUCAAGGGUGCCCUGCAUGGUCAAGGUAAAUUACGGGUAUCUGAAGCUUUUGUGAUAUUAAUUCGAUAAUGAUUCUUUCUUUUCAAGUUUAUUUUCUCCCGUAAAAUAAUAUUUUUUUCUUUUAAAUUUUAUAUACUUUCACUGUCCAAUAGUUCUACCUUCUCUAAAUUGUAGGAUUCUUGAUUAAGGUUAAUGAAUUUUUAGUUCUGUUAUGUUAAGAAUAUUUCGAUCGCUUAGAAGAGUAAGGAAAAAUAAGUAAAUUAACCCAAAAAAGAGAAAAGAACAGGACCGGAUUAUCCUUAUUCCCUUGCAUUAUGUGAUCAAUAUCAAAAUUAUAACCAUUUCUUGUUUAUUGCUUGUAGAUUUUCAUAAAUUCAAGAAUUUGGAACAUCUGGACAUGGAUUGGGUGCAGGUUAACGUCAACACCAGUUUUUUUCAAAUUGUCGGCGAAUCGAUGCCUUCUCUCAAGUUUUUAUCACUGGCAAAUUCAAGUCUUAAUAAAAACACCAUUCUUGAUCAAGGUUAAUUAAUGAUUCUCCUUCUCCCUCUCUCGCAUCAUAACUAAAUUUAAUUGAGAAUAUCUAUAAUGCUAGCUAUUUAUAAACUUAAUGAAAGUUGAUGAGGAGCCAUAUUAAUGACAAAAACAACUGUAAAAUAGUGCGCUGUUGUAGCGUUGAUUGAAAAAUAAUGCUAAUGUUUUACUUAACAACACUAUAAGUGAUCAAACUUAAUUUUUAAUGUGUACUUUAAAGAUUUUAUGCAAUUAUUUAAGUUUUAUGCAAUUAUAUUUUUCAGGACUUUGUCGGUUAGUGCAUCUGCAAGAGUUAUACAUCAGCGGUAAUGAUUUGAGAGGUAGCUUGCCAUGGUGCUUGGCAAACAUGACAUCCCUCCAAGUGUUAGAUGCCUCUUCUAAUCAACUUACUGGAAACUUUUCCCCAGGCCUUUGUGAGUUGGUGCUUCUGAGAGAGUUAUACAUUCACAACAAUGAUUUAAGAGGUAGCUUGCCUUUGUGCUUGGCAAAUUUGACUUCCCUUCGAGUAUUAGAUGUCUCUUACAAUCAACUUACUGAAAACAUCUCAUCUUCCCUCAUGCAUCUAAUAUCUAUGGAAAAGCUCAUACUUUCAAAUAAUCACUUCUUCCAAAUCCCUAUUUCACUUAAACCACUUUUCAAUCUCUCAAAACUCAAGACUUUCGAGGGUGAAAUAUGCGCAGAAACUGAGUCACAUUAUAAUUCUUUGACCCCAAAAUUCCAAUUGACUUCUAUCUCACUGUCUGGUUACAUAGAUGGUGGCACAUUUCCCAAAUUCUUGUACCAUCAGCAUGACUUGAAGAAUGCUGAUCUCUCACACCUUAACUUGAGUGGAAAUUUUCCAAAUUGGUUGGUAGAUAACAAUACGAACUUAGAGACGCUUCUUCUUGCCAACAACUCUCUUUUUGGAUCAUUUCGGAUGCCAAUUCAUUCCCACCAAAAAUUGGCAAAAUUGGAUGUCUCCAACAAUUUCUUUCAAGGCCAUAUUCCGGUGGAAAUCGAAACAUAUCUGCCAGUCUUAAUGGGUUUAAACUUAUCUAGAAAUGCUUUCAACGGUAGUAUUCCCUCUUCAUUUGCUGAUAUGAAAAUGUUGGAAAGGUUGGACAUAUCCUACAAUCAGUUGACUGGUGAAAUCCCUGAGCGCAUGGCCACGGGUUGCUUCUCAUUGGAAAUUCUUGCAUUGUCAAACAACAGUUUGCAAGGUCAUAUAUUCUCUAAAAAAUUUAACUUGACAAAUUUAUUAAGGUUGCAGUUGGAUGGUAAUAAUUUCAUUGGAGAGAUCCCAGAAAGCUUAUCUAAGUGCCGUUUGUUAGGAGGAUUAUAUCUGAGUGAUAAUCAUCUCACUGGUGAGAUUCCAAGAUGGUUGGGUAAUUUGUCAUUUUUACAAGAUAUUAUAAUGCCCAAUAACAAUCUUGAAGGGCCAAUUCCAAUCGAGUUUUGUCAGCUUGAUUCUCUGAAGAUUUUAGACCUUUCAAACAAUAGUAUUUUUGGAACUUUACCAUCUUGUUUUAGUCCAGCAUCUAUCGAACAAGUUCAUUUGUCGAAAAACAAGAUAGAAGGACGGUUGGAAAGUAUAAUCCAUGACAGCCCCAAUUUGGUGACAUUAGAUCUCAGUUAUAACCGCUUACACGGAAGUAUUCCAAAUCGGAUUGACAGACUACCUCUGUUAAGCUACCUUCUUUUAGCUAAUAAUUAUAUUGAAGGCAAAAUACCAGUUCAAUUAUGCCAGUUGAAGGAAGUGCGGUUGAUUGAUCUUUCUCAUAAUAAUCUAUCUGGUCAUAUUCCUCCUUGCUUGGUUAACACUUCACUCAGUGAAGGUCAUCAUGAGGCAAUAGCUCCAACUUCUAGUUCGCGGGAUCAAGCGUCUGCCUCUGUACUUCCAUCUGAGGCUCCAAAUGGAUCUCCGAUGGGAAAGGAAGAAACUGUACAGUUCACAACAAAGAAUAUGUCCUACUAUUAUCAAGGAAGAAUUUUGACGAGUAUGUCUGGGAUUGAUCUUUCUUGUAACAAACUGAUAGGUGAGAUUCCUCCUCAAAUUGGAUAUCUUACAAGGAUUCAUGCGCUAAAUCUAUCUCAUAACAAUUUGACGGGCACAAUCCCGACAACAUUUUCAAACCUGAAGCAAAUCGAAAGCUUGGACCUCUCCUACAACCUAUUGCAUGGGAAAAUCCCUUCUCAGCUCACUGUGCUAACUACAUUGGCGGCCUUCAGAGUAGCAUACAAUAACUUAUCAGGCAAAAUUCCGGAUAGAGUUGCACAAUUUUCAACUUUCGAGGAAGAUAGCUAUGAGGGGAAUCCUUUUCUUUGUGGAUGGCCACUGUCUAAAAGUUGCGAUGAUAAUGGAUUAACAACAGUGACAACAGAAGCUUACACUGAAAAUGAAGAAGUUGAUAGUUUAAUUGACAUGGACAGUUUCCUGAUCACUUUUACAGUAUCUUAUGGAAUUGUGAUAUUAGGAAUUAUUGGAGUUUUGUACGUAAACCCCUAUUGGCGGCGAAGUUGGUUUUACCUUGUUGAAGUAUGUAUGACCUCUUGCUACUAUUUUGCAGCAGACAAUCUUGUUCCUAGAAAAUUCUAUGGUGGAUGGAUGUAAUUUCAUUACAUUACAACUUAUAUGUAAUUUUCAAAGAAUUUUCUUUUGCAUGCAUGGAAUAGCAACUCAAUAAAAGUAUUUGAUGCAAAUUGUCCAAGAACAACUUAGUAAUUUCAUUGCUACUAUUCGGUUGUAUGUAUACAGUUAAUGAAAUUUUUAACCAUUCGCAGAAUACCCUUAGGAAUUUCUUUAGAUGGCGGCAAAAAACUAAGAGAUUCGGGGCUCUACACGGUCUGAAUGAAGAUUAACUUAAUGCCCUCAGGAUUAUGUGUAAGUUCUCUUUUAAAUUUAAGGGGUUGAGAUUUCAGGUCCGGAUGAAAGUUGAAUGCAGGUGACGAGACUUCACUGGGACAAACUUAAAAUAAAAAAUUAUAGUCCACAGUAAGAGCAAUGGGUAGCUUAACUUAUGGAAGAUAACUAGAACUUGGAAUAACUUAAAUUAGCUAUAAAAUUAAGACCAUUAUACAACUAAAAAGAAAGAAAAAUUGUUUGCUACUACAUAUCAAAACUAGUAAUAGCAAUGAAAGAUGGCAGACUUCUUACUUAAACAGAUGAGAGGCUACAAAUAAAAAAUUUGUGCAAAUAAAUAUAUGAUAAAGAGCAUAAUACUUUCUUGGGGGCUAAAAAUAAUAUACAACUUGUGAAAUAUAAAUUGAGCUACCGUUACCUUUUAGAUGUGGCAACUUUCGACUUUUGAGGCACUUUGGAAUAUGCAUUCAGAAUCCUGCAUUUGGAAGCCAAAUAAAUAAUGUUAAUAACAAUUUUACAAUAGAAAAAUUAAAAAUUGAUAAAUGGCAGUUGUAAUUUAUGUAUGUGUAAAGAUAGCAUCACAUCCAGGGUCCUCCCAUAAACAUGCUUGUAACAAGAAUUAGUUUGCCUCAACUGCUAGCAACUAUACAAUAGUAAAAAUCACUCUUAUGAACUCAACAAUACUAGGCACCAAUAAGAGUAUGAUACAGCCAUUCUAAAUGGAAGAGAAUACAACUGUUUUACAACUAUGUUGCAUCAGGAGAUAUGUUAGGAGUUUUAAUCCAGAUACCUUCCAACCCAAUUAGGAAAACUCGAGUCAGAAACCAGGAGCUGCAACCGAACCUUACAAUCUUGAAGGAAGAAGGAGACUUGGGGCAUUUUUCUAGAUAGGUGACUUACUAGAUCUACUGCCAAGAAAAUAUCUAUUGCUUUGAACCUCCAUUGAAAUUUCUUUUCCCUUUUUCUUAUUUUGACUUGGAACUUUCCAGCAUCAUCUAUUUGAUCUUUUUUAAAGCUAAAAUAGCAAUCUACGGGUUGUCAACAUCUUAUCCCCCCCCCCCCCCCCCGAGGGGCCCCCAAAAAAAAAAACAUCAAUGAGUUGUCAAUAAAUAGCGCCUACUCAACUUAUGUUCUCCAAUGGAUGACAAUGUGCAAAUCGACCUAGCAGCCACAUUUUUCCCCCCUUUCAACCACCAUUAGGCAACUUUUCUAACCUUUCUUCAUUGCCCACGUCUACAGAACUAUCAUAUAAAGACUACAAGAUAGACGCACGGUAUCUAAAUAAUUGUACCAACCCCCUCUCCUGAUUGUCAUAAAACGGCCAAUAUUUAACGCUCGACAACAAAAUUGCAAAUACUCUAGCCUCUAUAUUAUUGGCAUAUAAAUAUUUUCGGUUAGGUACAUUAUAUUCUUCGUUCUAAAACCUCAAUUAUUAGCUAGUACUGUGAUAAAAUGAUUCAUCACUGAAAUUAAAACUAGUUCACGUACAAAUAAUCAAAACUGAAAUAGAAGCAACGAUAAACCAACCUGUAUUACGUCGAUUCAUCACAACAAACUGAAAUCGAGGCUGUGUGUUCCUGAAAAUUGAAAAAAAUAAUAAUUUCACCAACUUCAUAUGUAAUACAAUCUCCAAAACACUGAAUAUCAAAUGAAAAAAUGGAAAGCAUAAGAUAGAAAAGAAUCUAAUUUUAUUGACCUUUUGACGACGACGAGAGAGCCUUCAACAUCCUUACGACUCCAUUGGCUGAGGUCGAUGUUGAACUCGUAGAAGGUGACAUGAGCGGCCGUGAUGAGGAUCUCCUCAAUGAAUGGAUCGAUUCGCUGAAGAACUGUCAGGUUCAGGAGUUUUGUGCUCUGCUGGUCCAGAUUAAGCAUCAAUUUUCCGUUAUGCGACAUUUUUCAUAGUCGUUUUGGGCUCUGCCCCGAGCACAAGCCCCAGGGUUUUUCUGUGAGCUCUCUCUUUUGUAAAUAAAGUGUUUGAUGAGAUAGCCGAGAGAGAGUGAAAGUGUUGAACAGCCAAACACGGUCUCGAGAUUGAUCUUCCUUUAACUUCUUUUAAACAUUUGGGAAAUAGCAUUUAUUUCUUUUAGUUUCUCUACUUUUUUUUUCCUUUAUGUCAUUUAGACCCCAAAAUUAGAUUUAUUAUAAUCCUAUUUUACCCAUACACUAUUAACCCCUUUUAUUUUUAAAAUUUGUCAAUAUUAAUGUGUUAGAAUAAUGUUAAAAAUCUCAAUUAUUAUCUCAAUGUUUCAAUCAUAACUAAUGUGAUGACUCAUUGGUAACUGCAACAUUAACUUAAUUAUUAAUGUAACACAAUAAAAGUUUGCCACUUCGGCAUUGGUCGGAGUGGUGGGAUGCUUGUGAGGGCAGCGGUUCAAGCCCCCACAAAAGCAUUUGUGGGGGCUAACGUUGUGGGGGCUAACGUGCUUAUUUGUUUAAUAUUUCAAAAAUUUCCUCUCCCUCGUGCAAUACGAGUGGAGUAUGGACAUCCCUCUUCUGUAAGGGAUUAUUUGUCUGGGCAUGUACUUCACAGAAUUCAAUGUAAUAAUAUAAGUCCCAAUCAUGUAUUUCUGAUUGUAAAUAUCAGUGUAAUAUAUCUGCUGUUGAUGCGAGAUUCUGGUUCUCCUCGUUCUACGACCAGGAUCUCUGCUCGAUCAACUUUACCACGACCAGGAGGUCUCCUAGUAAUGCUUCUUCUCCAGAUGUCCCUGCACACACAGACAAGUCAGAGUACGCCGGUUGUUCUCCCGGCGCAAACCCUCCGACGCUCAAGUCAGAUAUGAAGGUUCGGGGAACGCUUGCCACAGGUCUUAUGGCUUUUUCGUGGUUUUCUCUUUUAUCUUAAAAAUGCUAACCCUUUUACCUUCGUUGGCUACCUUUUUAUAGGCUUCUCCGAAUCCCCGUUUUCCGCUUUUUGCCAGACGGUAUGGGACUCUGACUGCUGCGUCAUGGGCGAAGGUGGGAUCUUGCGUGUUACGCCACGGUUCUGGGGAAAGCGUGGCUGUCGUGCCUAGAUUCUCGGGCUGGAGAGCAUGUCUUGCCAACUGCCGUCGACCGGGUCUCCUCGCUUCUCGACCUCUAGCCGGAAUGAUCUUAUGCCUCUUACAGGAAAUUGACCUCGCGGAUGACGUGCUCGUGGACGAGCAGGAUAUUUCUGCUCCUGUUCCCCCGCGCAUCAGGCUUUUACGGAACACACCGGCUCGAGGAACUCUGCCCCCAGAUAUCUGCUCACCAUGCCUGGUCUCGUCGACGUAUUUCUCCUAAACACCGGUCCCCCAGUUUCUGGUGUUGGGUAAUGUAGUGGACCAGCAGUAGAAACUCGAUAGUACUCGCUCACGUGGGACUGGAAAAGGCUGCCAAGAGUCGUGUCGCAUUUAAUUGCGGACGGGGUGACGUGGCGAAAAUCCCCCCCUCCAUUUGAAUUUCAAACCGACGGUUAUGAGGCCCUCGGGAUUCGGCGCUGUUAAAUGCUGGCAACCCAAGAGUCCGUCCCCAUUAGAAAAACCAAAUCCUCUCGAACGGCAUAUUCAUCAUCCACUACGUCUCCGUCUCUGUCUCUCCGGCAAAGAAGUUCCGGCAUAAAAGUCCUCCAUCUCUGAUUUUCACCGACUGAACCAUUACUUCAGGUAUUUCUUCUAUCUCCUUGGCCUCGGAUAGUUGUAGAUAAUUUCUCUUUUCUUCUGUUUGGGUAGUAGUUGGUGGUGUUGUGGUUAGAGCUUAGGGAAUGUCGAAAGGCAAAGAGAAGGUCAUUGAGGUUGACGACGACGAGUUGGACUUCCUGCCUAGUCUGCUCACCGACCCUGCUUUUGACCCCGGGAUUCCCUUAGAGCCCACUAGGUCUAGUGUCGGGACUAGUGCUAGGAGGAUGUCUCCCCAAACAACCUCUACGAGCGGAAGUAGUGGUGAGGAGAGAUCUUCUGACUCUGAGGAUACGUUGAGUGAGAAUGGCGAAGGUGAUUCUGGUGAGGUGUCUCCAUCUAGAACAUCACGACCAGGAGAACGGGGUACAGUAGGAGGCAGAGCCUUGUCGCGCGAUUAUGCCAUUGAUUACAUGACGUGCACGACCUCGUUUGACGAGCUCAAGGACCUCCGGCUUAGGUAUAGCAUUCCUGGUGAGAUACCUCUCAAGGUCCCAGGAAAGAAGGAUGCUCCCAGCCGGCCUCCUAGGGGAUACGUUACCCUGUUUUUAGAGAGCUUUAAGUACGGGCUGAGGUGUCCCUUGCAACCCUACUUUGCCCGGAUACUUAACGGGCUAAACCUAUCUCCUGGUCAGCUGAAUCCCAAUGGGUGGAGAGUGCUCUCUGGUCUGUUCAUAUUGUGGGACAGAUGUUGCCAGAGCGAGCCCACGGUUGAUGAGGUGAGACACCUGUACCAGCUAAAGAGCAGCCCCAAAGAUGCCGGCUGGUACUACUUCCAAUCUAGCACCAAGAGCAGGAAACCUAUAACCGACCUCCCCACUGGUGGUGGUGGGAAUUGGAAGAGAAAGUUCUUUUUUGCUGGGGGUCCUUGGGGUCAGGUUGCACAAAUGAACGGGAAGGAUUAUCGGGUCCCACCCCGUUUCACGGUCCCAGGUUGCCUGCUUGCUUUUAGAUGUCUUGUAUCCAUAAGUGUUCUUGCUUUAUUGGCUUGUCUCUAACCAAGUGUCUGUUUGUGUUGUAGUUUCUUGGGGUGUUCACUUCCCGCUCCCACCCGACCAGCUCAAACGGGUCGAGGAUGUGCUCGCCAAUUCCUGCUCGAGCCGGGAACUGUUAACUACGUACAACUUGCUCGAGUCUCGCUUGAUACUUCCUGGCCAUAGGAUGGAGGACGCUGUGAUUGGGGCUCUGACCCGAAAACGUUCUCGACCCCCAACCACGAAGAGGGACCAGAGUAAGGAUGCCCCUGUGGCAAAGCGGGCCAACAUCGUGCAGCAGGUCCCACCCUUGAAGAUUUUACCUCCUGCUCCCGUAAAAAUUGGGGAAGCUGGUGGAGCUGCCACAGAUCCUGCUUCCUCUCCUCCUCCUGUCGGGCCCCGAUCUCACUUACCUGACAGCCGAGCAGAACAUCUGGUCCUCUACUUCAAUGAGUUAACUAAACUCGUGAGCAGGAAGGAUCUGGAGGACUUUGACGGCCGCACCUUGGGUGAGUUGGUGGGGGCCAUGCAGCAUAGCGCUUUCCACCUCAGCUGCAUGACCACCUAUUACAAGGCUAAGGUUGGCCGCUAUGACCGGAAGAUGAAGGAGGAUAUUCAAUCGGCGACGACCAGAGCUGACGUUGCCGAGAAGAAAGCAGGGGAGCUGAAUCUCGAGAAUCUGAAGCUGAUGGAGCAAGAAUCACUUGCUCAAGCAAAAGCCAUCGCCCUCGAGGAGGAGCUUAUCAAGGUCAGGGAGGAUCUGCAAAGGCAGAAGACAAUGUAUGAGGCUCAGCUCGAAUCUCUUCGCGACUCCCACCGAGCUCAGGCCGAGAACUUGGAGAGGGAGGCCGACAACCAGUACGACCAGGGACUUCGGUAUUCCUAUCGUUGCAUCAUGGCCGUCCUCGGGAAGCAACACCCUGAUCUGAAGAUGGGUGACCUUGCGGCUGGUGUUGCUCAACAUAUGGACGAGGAGGCGGCCAAGGAGGAUGCCAAAGGGGUAGAGCCGAUCGUGAUAGAGGAGGAAAACUCUCCUCCUCAUGUAGUCCCUGCUGAUGUUGGCGAGGCGAGCACCCACCCCAAUGCCUCUAGUGAUACCCCUCCUGCACCUGAGGAGGUCCAGCCAACCGAUGCCGCUGGGCUCACUGAUCCACCAUCUUCUUGAUAUAUUUCUUGUAUUGUAAUGACAAUGUUUAUGAAGAUUAUUCCCUCUGUUAAUUAUUAACAAAUUAAUAAAAAUGUUUUUGAUCACCUUCUUGUGUCGUAAUUACGAAUUAAUUUUCGUUUGAGAAUCUGCUUGUCUUUGUCUAAACGAGCAGGUUCCGGCUUGGCUCAUGGUUUUGCCACAUGCCUUUGAAGAUUUUUCAAUGCUUGGGAUUCGGUUUGCCUUCGCGCAGUUGAGCAGAUCCUGGCACGCUUGGCUUCUGUCUCGCCAUAAGAUAGGCUUUGAGACUUGACGAGCCUUUGCAUGCCUUGGAUUCUUCAAAGCUCAGGAUUCUGCUGCCUUCUCGUGGCCGAGCAGAUCCUGGCAUGCUUGGCUUCUGUCUCGCCAUAAGACAGGCUUUGAGACUUGACGAGCCUUUGCAUGCCUUGGAUUCUUCAAGGGUUGGGAUUCUGCUGCCUUCUCGUGGCCGAGCAGAUCCUGGCAUGCUUGGCUUCGGUCUCGCCAUAAGACAGGCUUUGAGACUUGACGAGCCUUUGCAUGCCUUGGAUUCUUCAAGGGUUGGGAUUCUGCUGCCUUCUCGUGGCCGAGCAGAUCCUGGCACGCUUGGCUUCUGUCUCGCCAUAAGACAGGCUUUGAGACUUGAUGAGUCUUUGCAUGCCUUGGAUUCUUCAAGGGUUGGGAUUCUGCUGCCUUCUCGUGGCCGAGCAGAUCCUGGCAUGCUUGGCUUCUGUCUCGCCAUAAGACAUGCUUUGAGACUUGACGAGCCUUUGCAUGCCUUGGAUAAUUUCUUGGUUUCAAGCGUAAAAUUGCUUCAUUAAUGGCAGGAUUCGACUUACAUAAAAUUGUUUGGGACAUAAAGCGUAAAAGAUAAACGAUAAUGAGCAUGAGCAGAAAUAGCUCUCAAAUGUGAACAAAUCUUACUGGAAGUAUUUUCGGAGGUGUGCUGCGUUCCAUGGGCGUUUCACCUCGUGGCCGUCCGCGCGAACCAGCCUGUAAGCUCCGGGUCCCGCUAUCUGCUUGACUCUAUAUGGCCCUUCCCAAUUCGGUCCCAGCACUCCUUGAGUCGAAUCUUUGGUGCUCUGAUUCACUCUUCUCAGUACCCAGUCUCCGACCCUGAAUUGCCGUAUGUUCACCUUCUGGUUAUAAUACCGAGCAACCCUCUGUUGGUAAGUGACUGAUCGCUCGGCUGCUUGCUCCCUCCUUUCCGUCAGCAGAUCAAGAUUCAAACAUAUCUGCUCGUCGUUCUCCUGCUCAUUGAAAUGAUCUGUCCGGUGUGUGGUCGUUCCUAUCUCAGCCGGCACGACCGCUUCGUGUCCGAAAGCCAAAGCGAACGGUGUCUCCCCCGUUGCGGUUUUGUGGGUUGUUCUGUAUGCCCAUAGCACACCUGACAGCUCGUCAACCCACGCACCCUUUUUUGCACCAAGCCUGGUUUUCAAAAGCCUCUUGAUGGUCUUGUUGGCUGCUUCUACUUGUCCAUUCGAUUGAGGGUGAGCAGGCGAGCAAUACUUCAGCUCUAUCCCGAGGUUCUGGCAGAAAUCCCUGAAGCUGUGAUUAUCGAACUGCCUGCCAUUAUCCGUUACCAAGGCAUAAGGGAUCCCGUAUCGACAGACCAGGUUUCUCCACACGAAGUCUGUUGUUUUCUUCUCCGUGAUCCUGCUAAGGGCUUCCACCUCUAUCCACUUCGUGAAGUAAUCUAUAGCAACUAUUGCAUGUGUUGCUGCUCCUCGUCCUUUUGGCAAUGGGCCGAUCAGAUCAAUUCCCCAUUGAGCAAACGGCCAAGGGGAGGCCAUAGAGGUGAGCUUCUCUGGUGAUUGGUUGGAGAAAUUUACAAAACUCUGGCAGCUUGCACAACCCCUGGUCUUCUUUUGCGCAUCCUGGUGCAUUGUCGGCCAGAAAUAUCCCUGCCUUAGGACCUUGUGGGCCAGGGACCUCCCGCCAGAAUGAUUUCCGCAAAUUCCUUCAUGUACUUCUCUCAGCACGUAAUCCGCGUCGUCGUCAUCCAAACACCGAAGGAACGGUAAUGUGUAUCCUCGCCGAUACAGUACCCCAUCGAUCAUCGUGUAUCUCGAGGCCUGAGCUCUAAUCUUCCGAGCUCGCAGCUUAUCUGGUGGUAAUACCCCGUCUCUAAGGUAUGAAACUAUCGGGUCCCUCCACGAGCAUUUUUGUUCUAUCCGCAACACCCCCAAAUUCUGCUCGAUACUUGGGCUGGACUUCACUUCUAGAGGGACGGACUUUGGCAUUUUUGGGUCGGCUACUGCUGCCAUCCUAGCCAAAAUGUCUGCUCGACUAUUCUGCUCCCUGGGGAUUUGUAUCACCUCCACUGCUUCGAACUUCCCCAUCAUCUGCCUGACUAUCUUCAGGUACUGUUCCAUCUUCUCCUCUCUUGGUUGGAAUCUUUCACUGACAUGAUUCGCAACCAGCUGGGAAUCAGUUCUGAUCUUAACUCUGUCUGCUUUCACGGCCCUAGCCAAUUCCAGGCCUGCUAUCAAGGCUUCGUACUCUGCCUGGUUAUUUGUGACUGCAAAUUCCAACUUUACAGCAUAAGAGAUCUCCUCCCCCUCUGGGCCUUCCAGGACAAUCCCUGCUCCUGAACCCCGCUCCCCUGAUGACCCAUCUACAGACAUCUGCCAUACUUGAGUUUCGUCAUUGCCUAUAACUGCAUCUUGUUGACCUAAGCAUGUUUCGGGCUCUGUGAAUUCAGCUACGAAAUCGGCCAUUGCCUGGGCCUUUAUCGCUGCGCGGGGUUUAUAGUCUAUGUCGAACUCGCUCAGCUCUACAGCCCACUUGACGAGCCGCCCAGAGGCAUCUGGCUUGUGCAGAGUCUGACGCAAUGGCUGGUCUGUUAUUACCGAGAUCGGGAAGGCUUGAAAAUAUGGCCUCAACUUCCGAGCAGCAACCACAAGGGCAAGUGCCCAUUUCUCCAACGGUGGGUACCUGGUCUCAGCGUCGAGCAGGGCCUUGCUGGUGUAGUAUAUCGGAUACUGAACUCCUUCUUCCUCUCUCACCAGAACAGAACUGGCGGCCCGAUCCGAUACCGCCAAAUACAGAUACAACUUGUCCCCAUUCCUCGGUGUGGACAGCAGCGGAGCUUGCUGCAAGUAUUGCUUCAAGUUCCGGAAGGCUUCCUCGCAUUCUGGGGUCCAUUCUGUUUUCUUUCCCCUCCUUAUCACUUGAAAGAAUGGCUGACACUUAUCUGUAGCUUUGGAUAUGAAUCUGCUCAACGCCGCCAACCUCCCCGUGAGGCCCUGCGUCUCCUUCAGGUUACGAGGAGACGUCAUUUGCACAAUCGCCUGGAUUUUCUCGGGAUUUGCUUCAAUCCCCCUAUGGCUCACCAUGAAUCCCAGGAAUUUCCCUGACUCGACCCCAAAAGCACACUUCUCCGGAUUGAGCUUCAUCUUAUACUUCCUCAAAAGCUCGAAUGUCUCCUCGAGGUGUCUGACAUGUUCCUUCGGGAUCUUGGACUUGGUGAUCAUGUCAUCCACGUACACCUCCAUGGUUUUCCCGAUCAACGGCUUAAAGACUUUGUUCACCAGCCUUUGAUAGGUGGCCCCAGCAUUCUUGAGACCGAAUGGCAUCACCCUGUAACAGAACAAACCUUGGUUAGUGAUGAAAGCCGUGCUCUCCUCAUCCUGCUCGUACAUGGGGAUCUGGUUGUAUCCCGAGAAUGCGUCCAUGAAGCUAAGCAGACCAUGUCCAGCUGUUGAAUCUACUAGCUGAUCGAUCCUUGGUAAAGGGAAGCUGUCUUUUGGGCACGCCUUGUUGAGGUCUGUGAAAUCCACACACAUCCUCCACUUGCCGUUUGCCUUCUUUACCAACACCACAUUUGAUAUCCACUCUGGGUAACUGACUUCCCGAAUGAACCCUGCUCUCAGGAGCUUCUCCACCUCGUCAUUUACAGCCUCAUACCUCUCCUGGUUGAAGCACCUCCUCUUCUGCCUUACUGCCCGAGCACCUUUCUUUAUUGCCAGCUUAUGACACGCUACCUCAGGGUCAAUCCCUGGCAUGUCUUCAUGUGUCCAGGCAAACACAUCAGCAUGAGCCUGUAAGCAUUUCACCAACUCCUGCUUUUGCUCUCCCUUCAGUCUCGACCCGAUUCUGAUCGUCUUUCCCGGGUUCUCUGGUCCCAUGCUUACCGUUUCCAGAUCCUCUACAGGUUCUUGUCUGCCAGUCUUGUUUUCUACUCGGGUAUCGAAGGAUGUUAUCUGCAUUGCCUCCCUUGCUGCCGAGGAGUAGCAGCUUCUUGCGAUCCUCUGGUCUCCUCGUACCACUCCUACUACCCCAUUCACCCGGUACUUCAGAGCCAGAUAAUGGUUGGACAAUACCGCUUUGCUCAUCCUUAAAAACGGCCGACCUAGGAUCAUCUGGUAAGGACCUUCCUCAUCCACUACGACAAAGUCCAGUAUCAUUGUUCUUUCUGUUAGGGGGCUCCCAAUUGUGAUAGGUAGUUCGACCACGCCCAGGGGAACCAGCUUCCCUCCUCCGAACCCCUUCAAGGAGGUGUUGGUGUAUUCCAACUUCCGGUCGGCUAUUCCCAUCUCUUCCAGGGUUGACUUAAAUAACACAUCAACUGAGCUCCCUGUAUCAACCAGUAUCCGGUCAAACUUCUUGCUAGCGACCGUAGCCUUGAUGACUAAGGCAUCCUCGUGGGGGUAUAGGAUCCCUUCCUCAUCCUCAUCCGUCCACAUGAUUGGCACUUGCCUGACCCUUGCCCGUUUGGCUGCUGGGGUGUUGAGGAGUACCUCUUUACUGGUCAUGGCGUACCUAGCAUAAUUUUUUCUCGAUCUGUUUGAAUCUCCGGCCAACGUUGGGCCCCCCGCUAUCACCCUUACUGCGGGCUGCUCGUGCCUCAAGAUUCUAUCACUCUGCUCCCCUUCAUCUGUUGUGGCCACCAUCGGGAAAGUCCCAUCCAUAAACUCGUCCAGGUACCGAUUUCUCACCAAAUCUUCGACUUGGGUCUUGAGAUCUCUACACUCUGCUGUGGUAUGGCCAUGGGUGCCAUGGAACUUACAAUAACGUCCUCUAUCCCUCCUGUUGGGUAGCUUUGUUAUUGAUGUAGGGAGGUGCAGCAGCCCUCGAUCCUUUAUAGCCUCGUACACCUCAUCCAGGGACAUCUUCAAGGGAGUGUACCGCCCAUAGUCCUGGUGCUGGUCGAUCCGAUGUACUGCUCUUUCUCUGUUUGUCCCGCUCUGAGUUGGGGGCGGUAGAAGUACUUCUGGUCUGCUCGUCCUGCUACCGUGGGAAUGUUGAUGAAGACCACCAGAUGCCGGAUCAUUUCUUGUCCAAGGUUCCCUAGCUGGGGAACGAGGAGGUUGCGCCCUGCUGCGCUGAUACUGUGGUGGCCUCUGAUGAGGCUGGUAAGCAGUGACCCUGCCUCCUGCUCCACUACCGGAGGCCUGGUGGUCCCUCCUCCUGAUCGGCCCGUUCCCUGGUAAUGCUUUCAUCUCUCUCCUCCCCAACCCUUCUAUCUGGUCUGUCUUGAUCCGUGCAGCCUUCUCCUCUUCAAUCUCGAUGUCUCUUUUAGCCUGUUCGUAUGCGGCCGCAUACGUUUGAAUAGCUGGGCUUCUCAAAUUGUACCACAGCCUUCCUAUCUUCACCCCUUCUUUCAAUCCCCUUAACGCCUGAGGGUGGUUGAAGGCUCCCAAGUCGAGGACAGCCCGAUGAAACCUCUUGAUGAAUUCCGGAAGGGUUUCUUGCUCCCCCUGUUUCAUGCUUUUUAGCUCCAUCAUGUCAUCUUCCGGUGACAUUGCCCUACUGAACUGCUCCGCGAAUUCCUGGCACAUCUGCUCGAAGGUUUUAAUGCUGCCCCGAGGAAGUUUCAUGUACCAUUCUCGUGCACGUCCCUCAAGGGAUAGUGGGAACACCCUGCACCUUUGGGAUUGAGAUAAUCCUUGUACCCCAGUUAUGUCGUUGAAGCGCUCUAUGUGCAUCAGCGGGUCAGUUCUUCCCGUGUAUCUGAAGUCGGGGAGGCGGAAAUCUCUCGGAAUAACUGCCCUCAUGAUCUCUGCUGCGAGCGGUGAUUCUCCGUCCAGCAUUAUCCUCCAACCAGGGGCUCUGUUCCUCCCUUGCAUAUCGUCAAUUAUCUGCGCUAGUCUGCGCACUUCCUCCUCCAGCUGCCCUGCACGACCAGGGUCACGUGCUGCAACUUGAUCCCGCUCUUGCUCUACAUCUUGCAAGUGUUGCCUCAACUCGGUUUCCUCUGCAUUCACCACCCCGUCGUCCGCGUCACAAGUCUGUCUUGCCGGGGACCGCUCUCUUUCUCUAUGAAAUUCUCCCCGUAGAGGUGCGUUACCUCUCUCACCACCAAAUCUCCCUGUGGUUUGACUUCUCCCCGCACUAUCGGGACCUGGUGCCACUCCACCGCCUCUCACCCUUCCCUCUUGAGUUACCCUUCGCUCGCUCCGUAGCUCAUGCAGGAUGGUUGUCAAGGUCUCCAUCUGCUUUUCCAUCCGUUCCAUCCGGUCGAACAUGACUUUUCCCGUGCUUCACUGACUAUCUCCCUCAGCGUCACGAAAUCGUUAAGCCUCAUAUCACCCCCUUGUGCACUACUUCCUCCUGUCUCCAUUGCUUUUUGCUUACUCCACCCCUCUUCUUGCUAUCAACAGAAGCUUUUUGCUCUGGGUCCCCACAGACGGCGCCAAAAUGUUGAUGCGAGAUUCCGGUUCUCCUCGUUCUACGACCAGGAUCUCUGCUCGAUCAACUUUACCACGACCAGGAGGUCUCCUAGUAAUGCUUCUUCUCCAGAUGUCCCUGCACACACAGACAAGUCAGAGUACGCCGGUUGUUCUCCCGGCGUAAACCCUCCGACGCUCAAGUCAGAUAUGAAGGUUCGGGGAACGCUUGCCACAGGUCUUAUGGCUUUUUCGUGGUUUUCUCUUUUAUCUUAAAAAUGCUAACCCUUUUACCUUCGUUGGCUACCUUUUUAUAGGCUUCUCCGAAUCCCCGUUUUCCGCUUUUUGCCAGACGGUAUGGGACUCUGACUGCUGCGUCAUGGGCGAAGGUGGGAUCUUGCGUGUUACGCCACGGUUCUGGGGAAAGCGUGGCUGUCGUGCCUAGAUUCUCGGGCUGGAGAGCAUGUCUUGCCAACUGCCGUCGACCGGGUCUCCUCGCUUCUCGACCUCUAGCCGGAAUGAUCUUAUGCCUCUUACAGGAAAUUGACCUCGCGGAUGACGUGCUCGUGGACGAGCAUGAUAUUUCUGCUCCUGUUCCCCCGCGCAUCAGGCUUUUACGGAACACACCGGCUCGAGGAACUCUGCCCCCAGAUAUCUGCUCACCAUGCCUGGUCUCGUCGACGUAUUUCUCCUAAACAUCUGCUAUAAUAGCAGUUGUAAAUAUAUGUGUAAUGCAGUAAUAUGAUGAUUAAUCAGUAUUCAAAACACAAUAAAAGUUUCGUACAGAUUUUGAUAUUGAGAGUAACACAAUAAAAGUUUCAUACAGAUUUUGCAAACGAAAAGCACAUAAUACACUUAACUAGGAGGAAAAAUUAAGGUGUAUUUAUUACAAAUUGCUAACAAUAUACAAUUGUAAAAAUCACUCUUAUGAACUCACAAAUACUAGGCAGCAAUAAGAGUAUGAUACAACCAUUCUAAAUGAAAGAGAAUACAACUGUUUUACAACUAUGUCACAUCAAGAGAUAUGUUAGCAGGAUUAAUCCAGAUACCUUCGAACCCAAUUAACGAACUCGAGUCAGAAACCAGGGGCCCCUAACUAAACCUUACAAUCUUGAAGGAAGAAGGAGACUCGUGGUCCAGAUAGGUGACUUACUAGAUCUCCUGCAAAAGAGAAUAUCUAUUGCUUUGAACCUCCAUUGAAAUUUUUUUUUCCCUUUUUCUUGUUUUGACUUGGAACUUUCCAACAUCAUCUAUUUGAUCUUUUUUUAAGGUAAAAUAGCAAUCUAUAGGUUGCCAACAUGUUAUUCUGCCAAACCCCACCCCACCCCCCCGGGGGACAACAAAUCGACCUAGCACACACCUUUCUUCAUUGCCCACACCUACAGAACUAUAAUAAAAAGACUACGUUACUAUUGGGGUAGAGAAAAUAUACAGACUGUAUUAUUAUUACAUCGCAUUUUACUAAUUAACUAGUGCAAGACUUCUUUAGUGUCAAAUCAAGAACUAAUUAGAAAAGACAACUCAUGAUAAUACAGACCUUAAUAAGCAAUUGCUAACAACAUCCCAUAUACUCCUAUUUUAGCCUUCAUUAUCCUGGUAAAAACACAAAUAAGUCUUGCAAACGAACAUUUAUAAGUAAAUUCAACAUUAAUUAAGAUUAGGUAUCUACUGCACCUAAUAGCAUGGUCAACCAUCUAGUUCCUGUAGCCUUCCAUGUACCUAUGUUAGUUACAUUUUACAUAUUAAGCCACGAAAACGAAGAAUCACAGCCUGGUAAAGAAAGACAUUAAUUAAUAGUUUUUGUUUAAAAAGUUCUCCUUUAGAUCUUUCCUAUUCAAUGAAUCAAUGUAAUCUAAAGAGAACUCUUCCAUUUCAAACAGUGUUAGAAGGUAUUUGCAAAGCCUAAAGAUAAUAUACAAGGACCAAGAUAUACACAGAUGGUUUCUUUAUGGAAUUAAAGAGCUUUAUAGAUGUUAAAACUGUUUCAAACAAUUUUUCUUGUUUGGUUUAACUAAGGAAAAGCUUGUGGAAGAUUAAAAAUGAUGUUUCCUAUUCUCUGUAGGAAACUUUUAGGAGAUUUUUUGGGCUUUUUUGAAAGGUUGAAUUGUCAAAAAUACCUUGAUGUUAUUGUUUGCUAAAAGAUGUUACGGACAUCUAAACAACCAACAACAUUUUGUUAAAAGCUCUACUAGUGUAGGAUCUACUUAAAGAAGCUAUACCAAACAGACUCUUAGACUGAAUAACUCGAUCUUAAGUUUGUAAAAUUGGGCUCAGAAUCUCCACUAACAACCCCGCUUCGGUGAGAAAGCCCAAGCCUGUUACUUUGUAUAACCUUAUUCUGUAUGUUUGAUUGCAGGAACUGGCCGAUCAUACCGACGAGGUGAGUGUGCAACAUGAGGUGCUUGACGGGAUGUUUACUUUCUAUGAUUCAACUAAAGCUAGCCUCAACAUAUAUCAGGUGCCUGCUUGUUUUUACCUUCUAGAUACUAAUAUUGUUUAGACGUGUAAUCUCUCUCUCCAUUGAACGCUAGACGGCUCGUCUCAAGCCUUCUACGUACUUCAGAGUCCUUCACUAGCUUUUUAUGUAUAAAGUUUUGAUCUUUUUCCUUCAUUUGCUUGAAGCUCAUUACUGCAGAUUUUUUUUACAGGUUGGUAGUGUAACAUUCGACUUGCUGUUGCUUCUAGUCUUGGGAUCGUAUUUAAUUGUGCUUUUCAGCUUUCUUGUCAUAACAACUAGGGUAUCACUCUUUCUCCAUAUCAAGCUUGAAGUUCUAAAUUUCAGUUUUAUCUUGUAUUUGAUGUUUUAUAAUUUCAUUGCAAACAGAUUAGAAUAGAAACUUCAAAAGUUCCAACUGACUAGUCCCGUGUAACUUUUUCAGGGAAGAUUUUCUCUCAUAACAACUACGAACGUGUUAUGGUUUAGCCCAGUGACACAAAGGACAGUUUUCAACAAUUGAUCCUAGGAAGAUGCCCAUAGCUUGUUGUGCCAAAAAUAGAAAAUCUAAGAUGCGAAAAAAUUUUGUUGAGAUUCAUUUUUCAUCCUGAUGUUACCGCUGGCCUUUUUUUUUUUUUUUUUUGGCAGAGAAUAAUGCUUAUGUGAUUUCUGAACUUGGUGAUUGUUGAAAUGAGCUGAAAAUGAGCUGGAAAUGUGUUUGGUUAAUGAGAAAGAGAGCAAGAAAAUGAAAGAAAUCUAUUUCACUUUUUAUUUAUCAGCAUGAUUACAUUCACAAUGAAUCUAAGCUGCUAUUUAUACUUAAAUGACUACACACGAGAAUCUUCUUGCUAGAUACUUCUAGAAACUCUACACGCACACUCACACUGAGCUAGUGGUUACCAAAACCGUUACAACGAUAUUGCCAGCUCAGCAUAACCAACUUAUAACUAACACACUCAGCUGCAGGGGAAACCAUCAAGCUUACUGUGCGUCCUCUGUAAUCAAGCUUCUUUAAGCAUGCUCUGCAGAUCAUACGUCUGAAUUAUCGAAACAAGAUGAAUUAUUUUUUGUUUAUUGCAGCAGGCGAUCAAUGAGCGGAAUUUCUAGCUUGUAUUCAAUUCGCGAACACAGUUUGAGAAGAAUCAGACCAUUAAUUUUCUUUUGAGCCAAUCAACAGAAUGUACAUUUCUUCUAAGAACUUGUAACCGAAACCGCAGUUUUUCAGGUUUGCUCCUUCCUCAUAGCAGUUAAUCAAACGAUAAACAGAGAUAUCCCAUGUCAACAAGAAGGUAAUCAUAAAAGAACAACAGAAUUGUUGCAACAUAUUCAUAUGAAAUGUAAAACAAUUUUGAGAAAAAAUAUUGGGAAGAUAUUUUUUUUUCAUAGAAGUUGCAAUCUUUACGUUAUUUACUAGUUUGACUAGACUAUAUAAGGAAGCUAUAUGAAAUUAGAAAAAUAAGCUAUACUAGGAAAGAAUAAAUAUGUGUACAGAAAAUUAGGCUAUAAUUUUCAAAUUAGAUGCCAGUUAAUUUUAUCAUAAUUAGAUGGUAAGAUUGCAAAUUCUGCAGCCAAAGGUGGUACGGAACUGAAUGAAGGAAAUCAAAUAUGAACAUGUUUUCAAUCUUAAAAUAUUAAGAGUAGCAUAAGUAACUUGUGAAACAGUUAUAAGUUCAAGGGAAUUAGAUGAUGGCAUGGUUGAAUUUUAUAAAUAUUUGAUAUUUUGGACCGAACAGGGCAAACAGAUGGAUCCAGAUAAUCAAGAAAAACAUCAAUUCCAUGCAACCAAAUGAGUCUAGUCAAAGAAAUUAUUCAAAGAAAUCUCUAGGUCAGUAUCCAAAUAUAUGGCUCCGUCCGUUCCACCACCACAACCAAAAAAAUCAGAUCCCCCCAUUUGGAUUCGAUUGAUUAAUUUGAGCAUAUAAAAUCGGGUUUUAAACUUCCCUAAUCAAAAUUUAUAUUCCACAGAAUCAGUUCCUUUAACAUGAUGCAUUACAUAAUAUUUUGUUUGCAAAAUAAAGAAGAAAGAUGACAUAAUAGAAACACGCUAUUGCAUCUUUUGAAAAAGAAAAACGGAAUAGUUUUCCAAAAUUAAUUCCGAGAAGAAGAUUAACUAAUAAUGAUGUUAGAAAUUUUAAUAUUUGAGUCUUAAUAUUAUGUAUCACUCAUUUAUUAAAUAAUAGAUUUCAUAAUUUGUAAAAUUACUUAACCACUUGAUAAAUGUUAUAUUUGUUGGGACUAAAUUGGAACUUAAAUGUUGGAAUAUCUAGUAUUGCAUUAAAAAAUAAAUAAAAACUUAACAAUUUAUCUUCACUUGACUAAUUGUUUUUACAUCACAACUAACCUUAAUUAUUUUGAAAGUUACAGUAUUAUUAAAUUGUCCUAACUGGUUAUCCAAAGUUGAAGCAUGUUAAAAUAAAAAAAAUUACUAAGAAACAUGUGCUUAAACAGAGGUUAAAGCUAUGAACAAUUAAGAAGAAACUCUUAAUUUGGUCCCAGUUAGUAUAAUAAUCAUCUAUUGAGCGGUAAAAUAUUAAUUUUAAUAGUGAUGAAAUCCAAUAAAUAAUAGAUUACUAACACACAUAAAUUAAAACUUAACUGUCUGAAAUCAUAACAUUACUCUACUCUUCAGUGGAGUUCUCUUAAACAGAUUAUGUGAGAUUGCCUACAUUAAAAAUAUGUUAAGACUGCUUGUUGAAAGCAAUAUUCGCUUUUCCAUUAUAUCCAUAACUUUGAAUUGAUAAAGUUGUAUUCAGCAGCUCUUGAAAAGACUAAUUUAUUUUAACUAGUCAUAGAAAUAAGAGAGAAAAGGGGCUAUUUCUUGACUCAAAGUCAAUUAUAAUUAUCAAAACUUGAGGGGACAUCGCAUGCCUAAAUUCCACGCACCCUAAUACGGUUUGAUUUGCUUUCACGCGUUCAUGAAUUUCCAUGAAAGAGCCUGCCUUUCGUCUCUUUCGGGACAGUGACUACAAUAAUGGAAAAAAUUAUAAUUCUCGUUAGAUUGUAACCAAAUUAUUAUCCCUAAUUUUUUUAAGUUACAUAUAAUAAAAUUCAUGCUUAAGUAUUUAGUAAUUAGAGAGAGAUAGAGAGGAUUGAGGGCCAAUGUUUCGCGAUUUGGGGUCAAUUCAAAGUCAACUAACGUGUAAAACACGUGUAUGCAUAGAAAACGCUUAGAUUAUUUGUGUUCCAAGAAAGAAAGAAGACCCAUCACCUUCUUCGUGACAACAAAUGAAUGAAUGAUGUUGAUAUGACAAAUACAAGCGCUAUUACAGGGAACAGCAUAAGAUCGAGACUUGAUAAAGGGUUUGUUAAAUUACAUGUUAUUUUCUUUUGACUUGAAUGAUGUUGAAGAGAAAAAUCAAAUAACAUUGUAAUCAGGGUGAUGUGUGGAAUAUAGUGAAAUAAAUAAAUAGAGAAGAGAAAUUCGUUGAUCAAUAUUCAAGAACUCAUCCAAAGUGAUCGUCAAAGUCUAGAGGUUCGGUAUGAUUAGCAUUUAUUAUUAUUUUUUUUGGCUUAACAUCAUAUAUAGUCACCUGUCGUGUGAUCUAGAACAGGUUUAGAAAUCCUUUUAUUUUAACUUCCGUAUUCUUAUUAUUUAAUUAGUUAUAGGGUUCUUCAGUAUUUGAGUAUUGAUCACAUGUCUCCUAAUCUAAAAAUAUGUUUUUACGAGUACAAAUAACAAACUAGGAUUUUAACAGCCUUUUAUACUAAACCCUAAAAAUACAUGAAUUUAUCAAAAUAAGUAAAUUAAUUUAAAUUGGUAUGGCAUAAUAAAAGUUUUACCUGCCGAAACAAAUUAAAAAAAUAUUACACUUAAAUCAAAUAUUGACAAAAAUAGAUAACAAUCUAAUGAGAAUCUUAACUAGAUAUUUUUACUUCUAUCCAAUUUAACUGGAACGAGAAUUAAGUCCUUUCAAUAGUUAGGACUCAUAACUCAUACACGCUAGUUUGAGAGUGUGGGGUGUGACAAUGGGCCAAAAGACCAUUGACAAGUACAAAAGAGUGGUCGCAAUUAAUUCAAACCGCUACACACGCUAUUGCGUCUUUUAAAAAAAAAAUGGAAUAGUUUUCCAAAAUUAAUUCAGAGAAGAAGAUUUACUAAUAAUGAUGUUAGAAAUCUUAAUAUUUGAAUCUUAAUAUUAUGUAUCACUCAUUUAUUAAAUAAUAGAUUUCAUAGUUUGUAAAUUUACUUAACCACUUGAUAAGUGUUAUAUUUGUUGGGACUAAAUUGGGACUUAGAUGUUGGAAUAUCAAGUAUUGCAUAAAAAUAAAAAAUAAAAACUUAACAAUUUAUCUUCACAUGACUAAUUGUUUUUACAUCACAACUAACCUUAGUUAUUUUUUAAAGUUAUAGUAUUAUUAAAUUGCCCUAACUGGUUAUCAAAAGAUGAAAGCAUGUUAAAAUAAGAAAUUACUAAGAAACAUGUGCUUAAACAGAGGUUAAGGCUACGAACAAUUAAGAAGAAACAACUUACAAUCAAAGGUUAAGAUUAUGAACAAAUUAAGGAAGGUAUUGAGCAGAUAAAGGGACGAAAUCAUUGUCUGAAUUGCCGGUGACAAGAAUGCUUGUGUUGUGAAAAGAAACCUGAUGGUUUGUAAAUGGGUUGAAUUUUUUAUUCGGUCGCUCCAACUGACUUACUAAUGCCAAAUUUAUUACUUUGCACAGUAGUGUUUAGGAUCCUCAAGAUCAACUCUUAAUUUGGUCCCAAUUAGUGUAGAAAUCAUCUAUUGAGCAAUAGAAUAAGAAUUUUUCUAGUCAUGAAAUUCAAUAUAUAAUAUAUCCUUGACACACAUCGAUUAUAACUUAACUGUUAGAAUUCAUAACAUUACUCUACUCUCAAGGGGAGUUCUCUUAACAUAUUAUGUUAGGUUGCCUACAUUCAAAAUAUGUUAGGCUGCUCUUUGAAAACAAUAUUCCUUUUUCCGUAACUUUGAAUUGAUCCAAUAGCUCUUGAAAAGCACAUAAUAAUCAUUAUAAAUUUAAUCAAAGACUAAGCAGGUCUUCUUUCCAUUUGAUCACUCGCAUUUCAGUUAAGUUUGUCGUUUACUUAAAUUUUUCUUGCUUUCAAUUUCCACUGUUGUUUUUUUUUAUAUAAAAUAAUUUAUUUAAACUAGUCAUAGAAAUAAGAGAGAAAGGGCGCCAUUUCUUGACUCAAAGUGAAUUAUAAUUAUCAAAACUUGAGCGGACAUUGCAUGCCUAAAUUCCACGCACGCUAAAACGGUUUGAUUUGCUUUCACGCGUUCAUGAUUUUCCAUGAAAGAGAGUGCCUCUCGUCUCUUUCCGGACAGUGACUGCAAUUAUGUUAACGUGACGAAUACAAAACGUUAUUACAUACAAGAAUAAGUUUUUGGACCCGAGACUUGAGGGAGGUUCUAUCUAAUUCUAAAGAUUGUAACCAAAUCAUUAUCCCCAAAUUUUUUCAGUUAAAUAAAAUAAAAUUUAUGCUUAAGUAUAAAUAAUUUUUUAAAGUUAAAUAUAAAAUAAAAAAAUUCAUGAACUUCCUAGAAAGAAAGAAGACCCUUCACCUUCUUCGCGACAACAAAUGAUGUUGACAUGACAAAUACAAGCUCUAUUACAGGGAACAGCAUAAGACCGAGACUUGAUAAAUAUUAAAUAUAUAAAAUAAGUGGAGCAAACGAACAGAAUAAUAGAUAUUUUAUAAUAUUCUUCAUAAAAAUCCAUGUUUUGAGCCUGCCUAUAAGCUUAUCUAGUGAAGUCUGGGUAUCCGCGUUGCCCAAGGUUCCGUUUGAAUCCAGGCCGUGUAGAUGUUUAAGACAUCGCAUAUGGACGGAGUGGAAAUAUUUUCAGUUGACUGAAUUAAAUAAAAAUAUAUUACAAUCAUAUUAUAUAUUAGCAGCAAAAAUAAAAAGAAAUGAAGAAAAACGCAUGCAAGACUUAGACAAGUCAAUUAAAAGCUGGGAGUAUCAUCAGUUCAAUUGGUUAUAAAUAGCGUAGAGCCAUCCUCUCGUUGUUGCAGAACUGAAGCAAAGAGACUCAGAAAGAGUGUGUGUAGGUGAUUAUAAUUAAGAAGAUAUAAUGUGUGGUUCAAAAAGAGUGUGGGUGAGUGAGUUAAUUUUCAUAUUAUUAGUAGUAAAAGGGUGGUGGAGUGAGGGAUGUUUGGAGCAAGAGAGGUCUGCUCUCCUACAACUCAGACAUUUCUUCAAUGAUGAUCAACUUCUUCAAAACUGGGUAGACGAUGAGAAUUAUUCAGAUUGUUGUCAGUGGGAAGGGGUUGAGUGCAAUAACACCACUGGCAGAGUGAUUGAAUUAUAUCUAGGAUAUACUCGGAAAUGGGAAUCAGCAGAGUGGCAUAUGAAUGCUUCUCUGUUUACUCCCUUUCAACAAUUAGAGUCUCUUGAUUUAAGUUGGAACAAUAUAGCCGGUUGUGUUGAAAAUGAAGGUCCUUAAUUUACUUUAUUUUAAUUCUUCCUCCUCGUAAUUUCUUACAUCUAUCUGAUCCCUUUUGGCUUUUGUUUAAUUUGUACGUGAUACAAUAAAAUUACUUUUUAUUUUUUGUCAGGUCUAGAUAGGUUAUCAAGGUUGAAGUUUCUUUAUUUAGACUAUAACUGCUUCAACAACAGCAUCGUUUCAUCUCUAGGUGGUCUUUCAUCACUCAGAAACUUAUCAUUGGCUGGUAAUGAAUUGGAUGGAAGUAUUGAUAUUAAAAGUAAGUACGCUUCAACCCUUCUCCCCUGUCCCAUCUUUUGUAGAUCUUAUUUCACUGAGCAGCUGGAAGUAUUGAUACGAGAUCUAGCUAGACUCUUGUGAGUUUAGGCUUCAAGGCUUUGAAUAUUAUAAAAAUAAGUUAAAGAAAUUAUCGAUAUAUGCAAUUUUCAAUGCUUCUCAUAAUCAGACACAAUUCAAUCUAAUUAUUUCGUAUGUCCUGUCUUCAAAAGUAAAGAAUUGUACACUAAUUGGAAAUCGACAUCGUAGCUUUUUAUUUUCUAUAAUGCUCUUUUUUCGUUAACGAGUUUAUAUCCUAAGAGGGAUUGGAUUGAAAAAAAAAAAGUUUUGAUGUUCAAUGUAAGCCAUGAUAACCUGCAUCUUAUUUGUCUGCCGACAUCCAAAUUUGUGCACUGAAUUUAGUAUUUUGGUUAUUGUGAAGGGAUCAGAUAUUGGCUUCCAUAGACCAACUUGUAUUUACUUAAUUAAUUAAUUAACGACAUUUAGUAUUUAACAAAUUAAAAUUUCAUGUUUAAUCGAUUUUAAUUUUUUUAAGAAAAAAGAAAAAGAUAUAACAGCAUGUAAAGCUGAAAUAAAUUUUAAUUCCUUACAAAUUUAAAUUCAUGGUUGUCAGCUAAAUAUACCUGCUUAAAGCCACUCUUUUCGCUGAGAUUUAACCAAAAAAAAAAGGAGAAAAUAAUUUAUUUAAUUAACUCUGUUUUAAGUGUUGGAAUAAAUACAGGACUGGAAUCCUUGAGUAACUUGGAGAUGCUGGACAUGAGGGACAAUGCAAUCGACAAUCUAGUGGUUCCUAAAGGUAUACAAAAUGACACUAACCCAAAAUAAUUUAAUCCGAAAUUGUAUCCCAAAUAGAUUACAGAGGUUUGAGGAAGUUGGAUACCCUUUAUUUGGGGGGGAAGGGAAAUUGCAGUGAUAUAUGGAAGCAAGGUGUUGCAAUCAAUAAAGAAAUUCAUAGGGUCAAUAUUAAAGGACUCUCCUCCAACUCAAACAUUUCUCAAAUAGAUUAUUUAAUCUGAAAUAGUAUCUCAAAUAGAUUAUAGAGGUUUGAGGAAGUUGAAUACCUUUUAUUUGGGGGGGAAGGGAAAUUGCAGUGAUAUAUGGAAGCAAGGUGUUGCAAUCAAUAAAGAAAUUCGUUGGUCAAUAUUCAAGACUCAUCCAAAGUGAUCGUUAAAGUCUAGAGGUCUGCUCUCCUCCAACUCAAACAUUUCUUCAAUGAUGAGAAUUAUUCAGAUUAUGGUCAGUGGGAAGCGGUUGAGUGCAACAACACCACUGGCAGAGUGAUUAAAUUAGAUCUAGGAGCCACUAGGAAUCGGGAAUCAUCAGAGUGGCAUAUGAAUGCUUCUUUGUUUACUCCCUUUCAACAAUUAGAGUCUCUUCAUCUAAUUGGGAACAAUAUAGCCGAUUGUGUUAAAAAUGAAGGUCCUUAAUUUACUCUAUUUUAGUUCUUCCUCGUAAUUUCUUACAUUUAUCUGAUCCCUUUUGGCUUUUGUUUAAUUUGUACGUGAUACAAUAAAAUUAUUUUUUAUUUUUUGGCAGGUCUAGAGAGGCUAUCAAGGUUGACCAACUUGAAGUUUCUUCAUUUAGACUAUAACUGCUUCAACAACAGCAUCUUUUCAUCUCUGGUUGGUCUUUCAUCACUCAAACGCUUAUCAUUGGCUAGUAAUGAAUUGAAUGGAAGUAUUGAUAUUGAAGGUGAGUAAGCUUCAUCCCUUCUCCCGUGUCCCAUCUUUUGUGGAUCUUAUCUCAUUGACGGGUUGGAAGUAUUGAUACGAGAUCUAGCUAGACUCUUGCUAGUUUAGGCUUCAAGGCUUUGAAUAUUAUAAAAAUAGGAUUAAGAAAAUAUCAAUAAAUGCAAAUUUCAAUGCUUCUCGUAAUCAGACACAAUUAAAUCUAAUUAUUUUGUAUGUCCUGUCUUCAAAAGAAAAGAAUUGUACACUAAAUGGAAAUCGACAUUAUUGUUUGCUUUUGAUUAGUGGAUCAAAAAUCGACUAAUUUUGAUUUAACAUAAAAAUAAAAAAGAGAAAAUAAGUUAUUUAAUUAACCCUGUUUUAAGUGUUGGCAUAAAUGCAGGACUGAAUUCCUUGAGUAACUUGGAGGAGCUGGACAUGAGCGACAAUGCAAUCGACAAUCUUGUGGUUCCUAAAGGUAUACAAAAUGUUCAAAUAUUAAUAAUUUGGAGGACAGUUUAAUUGAUUUGAUUAGGGAAUGCCCAAUGACACUUACCCAAAAUAAUUUAAUCUGUAAUUGUAUCCAAAACAGAUUUCAGAGGUUUGAGGAAGUUGAAUACCCUUCGUAUAGGGGGAAGCAGAAUUCGAAUGAUAGAUGGAAGCAAGGUGUUGCAAUCAAUAGGAUCACUACCGUCCCUCAAAACACUUGACCUUUGGUAUACUAAUUUUACGGGAACAGUAGUUAAUCAAGGUAAGUAAAUCUUUUAUGUCGAAAAUAAUUGAAUUAAUAUAUAUAGCUAAAAUUUAUUGUUUCUACUUCUUUCUAAAUAGAGUUGCACAAUUUCACCAACUUGGAAGAAUUGAUAUUGCUCGGGUCUCAUCUCCACGUAAGCCAGCUUCUGCAAAGCAUCGCAUCAUUCACUUCGUUAAAGAAUUUGUCAAUGCCAGUUUGUACCCUUACAGGUGCCGUACAUGGUCAAGGUAAAUUACGGGUAUCUGAAGCUUUUAUGAUAUUAAUUCGAUAAUAAUUCUUUCUUUUCAAGUUAAUUUUCUCCCGUAAAAUAAUAUUUUUUUCUUUUAAAUUUUAUAUAUUUUCACCGUCCAAUAGAAGAGUAAAGAAAAAUAAGUAAAUUAACCCAAAAAAAAGAAAAGAACAAGACCGGAUUAUCCUUAUUCCCUUGCAUUAUGCGAUCAAUAUCAAAAUUAUAACCAUUUCUUGUUUAUUGCUUGUAGAUUUUCGUAAAUUCAAGAAUUUGGAACAUCUGGACAUGGGUGGGGUGCAAGUUGAUGUCAACACCAGUUUUCUUCAAAUUGUCGGCGAAUCAAUGCCUUCUCUUAAGUUUUUAUCACUGGCAGAUUCAAGUCUUAAUAAAAACACCAUUCUUGAUCAAGGUUAAUUAAUGAUUCUCAUUCUCCCUCUCUCGCAUCAUAACUAAAUUUAAUGGAGAAUAUCUAUAAUGCGAGCUAUUUAUAAACUUAAUGAAAGAUGAUAAGGAGCCAUAAUAAUGACAAAAAUAAUUGUAAAAUAGUGCACUGUUGUAGUGUUGAUUGAAAAAUAAUGCUAAUGUUUUACCUAACAACACUAUAACGUCGGAUAAUUUUUAAUAUGUACUUUAAACUAUCAGUACUCAAACUAUCAGUACUCAAACUUAAUUUUUAAUAUGUACUUUAAAGAUUUUAUGCAAUUAUUUAAGUUUUAUGCAAUUAUAUUUUUCAGGACUUUGUCGGUUAGUGCAUCUGCAAGAGUUAUACAUCAGCAGUAAUGAUUUGAGAGGUAGCUUGCCAUGGUGCUUGGCAAAUUUGACUUCCCUUCGAGUAUUAGAUGUCUCUUACAAUCAACUAACUGAAAACAUCUCCUCAUCUCCCCUCAUGCAUCUAACAUCUAUCGAAGAGCUCAUACUUUCAAAUAAUCACUUCUUCCAAAUCCCUAUUUCACUUGAACCACUUUUCAAUCUCUCAAAACUCAAGACUUUCGAUGGUGAAAUAUGCGCAGAAACUGAGUCACAUUAUAAUUCUUUGACCCCAAAAUUCCAACUGACUUCUAUCUCACUGUCUGGUUACAUAGAUGGUGGCACAUUUCCCAAAUUCUUGUACCAUCAGCAUGACUUGAAGAAUGCUGAUCUCUCACACCUUAACUUGAGUGGAGAAUUUCCAAAUUGGUUGCUAGAAAACAAUACAAACUUAGAGACGCUUCUUCUUGCCAACAACUCUCUUUUUGGAUCAUUUCGGAUGCCAAUUCAUUCCCACCAGAAUUUAGCAACAUUGGAUGUCUCUAAAAAUUUCUUUCAAGGCCAUAUUUCGGUGGAAAUCGGAACAUAUCUGCCAGGUUUAAUGGAUUUAAACUUAUCUAGAAAUGCUUUCAACGGUAGCAUUCCCUCUUCAUUUGCUGAUAUGAAAAUGUUGGAAAGGUUGGACAUAUCCUACAAUCAGUUGACUGGUGAAAUCCCAGAGCGCAUGGCCACAGGUUGCUUCUCAUUAGAAAUUCUUGCAUUGUCAAACAACAGUUUGCAAGGUCAUAUAUUCUCUAAAAAAUUUAGCUUGACAAAUUUGACGACGUUGCAGUUGGAUGGUAAUAAAUUCGCUGGAGAGAUCCCAGAAAGCUUAUCUAAGUGCUAUUUGUUAGAAGGAUUAUAUCUGAGUGAUAAUCAUCUCACUGGUGAGAUUCCAAGAUGGUUGGGUAAUUUGUCAGCUUUGGAAGAUAUUAUAAUGCCCAAUAACAAUCUUGGAGGGCCAAUUCCAAUCGAGUUUUGUCAGCUUGAUUCUCUGAAGAUUUUAGACCUUUCAAACAAUAGUAUUUUCGGAACCUUACCAUCUUGCCUUAGUCCAGGAUCUAUUGAACAACUUCAUUUGUCAAAAAACAAGAUAGAAGGACGAUUGGAAAGUAUAAUCCAUGACAGCCCUUAUUUGGUGACAUUAGAUCUUAGUUAUAACAGCUUACACGGAAGUAUUCCAAAUCGGAUUGACAGACUACCUAAGUUAAACUACCUUCUUUUGGCUAAUAAUUAUAUUGAAGGCGAAAUACCAGUUCAAUUAUGCCAUUUGAAGGAAGUGCGGUUGAUUGAUCUUUCUCAUAAUAAUCUAUCUGGUCAUAUUCCUCCUUGCUUGGUUAACACUUCACUCAGUGAAGGUCAUCAUGAGGCAGUAGCUCCAACUCCAAGUGGAUCUUCGAUGGGAAAGGAAGAAACUGUACAGUUCACAACAAAGAAUAUGUCCUACUAUUAUCAAGGAAGAAUUUUGACGAGUAUGUCUGGGAUUGAUCUUUCUUGUAACAAACUGACAGGUGAGAUUCCUACUCAAAUUGGAUAUCUUACUAGGAUUCAUGCACUAAAUCUAUCUCAUAACAAUUUGACGGGCACAAUCCCGACAACAUUUUCAAACCUGAAGCAAAUCGAAAGCUUGGACCUCUCCUACAACCUACUGCAUGGGAAAAUCCCUUCUCAGCUCACCGUGCUAACUACAUUGGCGGUCUUCACAGUAGCAUACAAUAACUUAUCAGGCAAAAUCCCAGAUAGAGUCGCACAAUUUUCAACUUUUGAGGAAGAUAGCUAUGAGGGGAAUCCUUUUCUUUGUGGAUGGCCACUGUCUAAAAGUUGCAAUGAUAGUGGAUUAUCAGCAGUGACACCAGAAGCUUACACUGAUAAUGAAGAAGGUGAUAGUUUAAUUGACAUGGACAGUUUCCUGAUCACUUUUACAGUAUCUUAUGGAAUUGUGAUAUUAGGAAUUAUUGGAGUUUUGUACGUAAACCCCUAUUGGCGGCGAAGAUGGUUUUACCUUGUUGAAGUGUGUAUGACCUCUUGCUACUAUUUUGUGGCAGACAAUCUUGUUCCUAGAAGAUUCUAUGGUGGAUGGAUGUAAUUUCAUUUACUUUACAACUUAUAUGUUAUUUUUAAAGAAUUUUCUUUUGCAUGCAUGGAAUAGCAACUCAAUAAAAGUAUUUGAUGCAAAUUGUCCAAGAACAACUUAGUAAUUUCAUUGCUACUAUUCGGUUGUAUAUAUACAGUUAAUGAAAUUUUUAAUCAUUCGCAGUAGGAAUUUCUUUAAAUGGCGGCCAAAACCAACAGAUUUGGGGCUCUACCUCUACACAUCAUAACAGGCAAAAGGUCUCUCUUUUACACUAUCUGAAUGAAGAUUAGCUUACGCCCCUGGAGUUCUCUAUUAAACUUGACGGUUGAGAUUUCAGGUCCAGAUGAAAGUUAAAUGCAGGCGACGAGACUACACUUUAAGUAAACUGGGACAAACUUAAAAUAAAUAAAAAUUAUAGUCCAGGGUAAGAGUAAUGGGUAGCUCAACUUAUGGAGUAUAACUAGGACUUGGAAUAACUAUCAGAUUUGCAACUCUUGUUAUAUGCUUGGGAGUUACAGUAAUCGAUUCAUUUCCUCCAUUUCUGAUGGUAACCCAGCUCUAUACAAGAACAAUCAGAGAAGGUUCAUUUAAGAAAUUUCACAACCCACGCUUUUUUUUCCUUUUUGCCCUCUUCCUCACAAUAAAAACACCUAACACACCAAGCCGUGCACAAAAUAGUCCUAUUUUAUUCAUGUCAUGAAUCCAAAAACUAUCCCAGCUCACUUUGUUUAACCAGCAUAACUAAAUUGUGGGUAUAAAUGAACACACUUUCGAAGCCUGUAACUUAUAAUAAGCUCAAACCCAAAAAUGACAUUUAAAUCCUGCAAGUGUUUUUCAUCAUCCCUAACAAAAAGAAACAAGAAUAAUUAUAUACCAAUAAUUUUUCCAUAAAAAAUACUGAUACCAAUAAUUUUUCCAUAAAAAAUACUGAUUUGAGUUGAAACACUAUACAAACUGGGUUUUAUACACUUGCAGAAAGCUACACGAUAGACAAAAUCUAGCAGCUACAUAAUGGUAUCACUUUCAGCUGGUCAUGAAUGGUGUGCAUUCAGCAGUGCUCGAUAGACCAUGUCUAUGAAUUGAUUGUCCUAUUACAUAUAAAAGCUGGUCAGCUAUACAAGGAAAAAAAUAAUAAUUGAAAAUGCAUCACAAAAAAUAAGUGUCUCGCAUUAGUGUUUGCACUCUAAGCAUGGCAAAGUGGUGCGGGUUCAUGAUUUUGAAGACUGGGAUAAGUGAAAAAUAGUUCAAUCCACUGAUGAACAUAAAUUUAUUUACAUGUCAAUUUAGAUAUCAUAAAAAAGUAAACAGUAAUUCACAGUCACUUAAAAGAGUUGAUAAAAUGCGUGCCGUGAAUGCAUUUUUGUACAUAAGAAAUCCAAAGAGUAUUUCUGACAAUACAAAUAUGCUAGCUUUAAAUCUGCUGUCAAUAUGCAAUUAAGAAGAUUAUACCAGCUGCAUGAUAAAGUUCCCCUAAUCUUAAUAACAGUAAACAUGAACAUGUCAGAUGCAAUUAUAGCUUCGAGCAUUUGCAUAACCAGAAAUCCUAACCUGAACAAGCACCAGAAGUGUCUCUCGGACUUUCUCCUUGUUGAUAAAUGGUCCGCUGUUUGAAGUAAGAGCAGGAGUAAGAGAUGGUGGAGGGGUUGGUAGUGGAAAAGGUUGAAGCAUUGGGGCACCAUAUGGGCGUUGCAGACUCAGGGGAGGAUUAAGUGGCGGAGCUGUUGGUGUAGAUGAAGAGACAAGCUGCAUCAUCUGUGCAUAGGAGGAUGGAGGAGGAACAAAGAAUAAGGAAGGCUUUACAAGAUUAGGGGUAGGUGCUGACAGAGGUGGAGAUGGUAUUUGCAAGGUUGGCACGAUAGGAGAAGCAACACUGGCGGGAUGAGAAGGUAAAGAAAUAGUUGUAUUGGACUGGUAAGGUUGUGCAGAGAUUGCUGCAUUAGAAGUAUUCCCCACAGUCAAAGCUGUCUGCAAUGAUAAGGACAGAUGUCAUAUACAAGGACA
rnacentral:lncRNA from 1 species